UUUUUUUUUGCCUUUUCCCCUAGUAAUCUGAAUGGUAGGGACACUGGAGUGUAUACACAUCCUUCAAAAGCCUAGUUUUAGAAAUGUAGGAACAAUAAAGGGUGCUAACUUUUUUUUUUGCCUUUUCCCCCUAGUAAUCUGAACGGUAGGGACACUGGAGUGUAUACACAUCCUUCCAACUUUUUUUUUGUACCUUUUUCCCUAGUAAUCUGAACGGUAGGGACACUGGAGUGUAUACACAUCCUUCAAAAGACUAGAAAGCUCGAGGGUAUAGUCCUUUAUUUGUUUAUGUUGGAAUCUGGGGGGAUUCAUGCUCUAGGCAUAGAGCAAAAGCAUCCACCUAAAUCAAUCCCAAUUUUGGUAGUUAAACUUUAGUGUGGUGUUGAUCUAGAUCCAAAACAUAAAGGUCGUCUUGGUCACAAAAGCUUGUGAUUGUGUAUAAUCUUCAUUUCCGGAAAAGCUGGCGAAAAGCCAACAUUGUGCUUAUUCAGUACAUUCUUGGAUUCUGCUUACUGAUAAGUGAUAAUCGACUGAAGAAUCCUGCCGUUUGAUAGAGCUUCGGCUGAAUCAGUGAGAAAGCUAGAAAAUAAUCUGUGCUAAGCAGGGCCUUCAACUAGGUUUUCUAGCAUGUAAAAUGAAUGUGGAGGAGAAUCGAAAUCCCCCCGGAAAAACUUGAAGCACUAGUAUCUACUUUUAGAUGAUGGAAAGAAGUACUGGUAUAUGAUGACGCACCCCCUACCUAGAGCUCACAGCAAGAUACAAAAACGAAGCAUUAAGAUACUAAGAGUUCUUAGACAUCGUGGAUGAGAGCAGAAAUGAAUCCUUGCUCUCCUUGGCCUUUGUUCUCAUGUACAAUCAAAGGAGCACACAUGCAUGCCCAGCCCAACCUCUCUAUCUGCGUACACACGGUGCACCCCUGAAAACCAAGGAAAAGAAUGCUUAUGCGACGCUGAAGGAGCUGGCCGCCUUCUCGACGCCCUUCCUGGCGCCCUUGAACCACCUCUUGUCGCCGGCCUGCGCCUUGCAGAUGUAGAGCUUGCCGUCCGAGACGGUGGCCGUGAUGAGCUGGUGCUUGCCGCCCUCGUCGCCGUCCGCCGUCCUCGUCAGCACCGACACGCUGUAGUACUGCUUCCCGUCCACCACCGGCGCCGAGCUCUCCAGGAUGUUGGCUGUCGCCACCGCGUCGGUCUCGAACCCGCCCUGCACGCGCAAGCACAGGUAAAUAGCCGUCGCCGAAUGAAUCAGAGAUUAAUUAGAUGCAGCAUGUGAACUAGUAGAACUAGAACAAACCUCGGAGUCAGUCUUGCCGCUGUAGGCCUGCUUGCCGAGGAGGUAGUCGACCUGGGCGAGGAACUGCUCCGGGGAGCCGAACUCGGUGAUGGUCUUCUUGGUGGUGGGCUGGACCAUGACGGAGACGUUGCUGUUGGCGUCGAAGUUGUCCUCGUAGCGGAGGACCUGGCCGGGGAACUCGCGCUCCUUGCUGGGGUUCCACUUGGACGGGAUCAGCAGCUUGAACCCGUCGCCGCUGUAGGCGAUGAAGUCCGUGUUCGCCUUGGGCUUCCCGAACACGUUGGCUGCAACCAAGCAAGCAAGCGCGAUUGCAAUCAAGAUUCAAUAACCGACCGAGAUCCAUCAAGCUACCCAGGAGCUGAGACAUUAAGCGCGUGUUGUUACCUGCUUCUCCGUAGGCGGCGGCGGCGGGGCUCACCUUGGCGCCGACGGCGGCGACGCCGGCGAGGAGCGUGAGCGCGGCGCGGCGGGUGACCGCGGCGGCGUCACCGCUCUCGGCGGCGGCGUCCUGCCUCUGCGCCUUGCAGACGAGCUGGGCCCGCGGCACCUGGGGGCGCGCCGAGGCGGCGGCGGCGCCGAGGCGAGCGGUGGACUGGAGGAGGAAGCAGGAGGUGGACGCCAUGGCUGCCGCUCGUUGCUCGCUAGCUGGCUCCUGCUGCUGCUGCUACUAUCUUCCUCUAGAAGACUUGUGGAUGCACCGGACGCUACGAGUGAUAACGAGGGGAGGGACCGAGGGAGCGGUGGGGUCGGCACGGCGAGGCUUCGUUUGGUGUGCGGCGGCACGCGGAUGGAGUUUGGAUCAGGGGAUAAGGCUCCGCGAGGCGUCAUUGGGCCACGUCGGAUCACGAUGUUUGGGCGGACUGUCGAUGGCGACGGGAAUCCCCCCCGUCAGAGACAAAGAAGAAACAGCCACAGCUAGCUGACGACGAGGAGAGGGAAAAAAAAUCGAGUAGUCAAGAACUCAGAACUGGUUAAUAUAGUCUGAGCCGUAAUGGGCCUUAGUGGGCCGAUUCGACUUGCACCGGACAGCGGAUCGGAUUUCAGCAAUCAUCAUCAUAAGCGUGAUACGGCUCAAAGUUAACCAUGCCAACCCUCGAGCUUUGGGUCAUGUCAAAUGGUGGCCCAAUUGCCAGCUCUACUCGCAAAGUUGCAGGAAAGAAAAUUGUCCGCCCCAGCGUAAAUGUGCCCGCCCCAGUCGCAAAGGUAAUUUCUGUUUAAAGACCGAACAGAGAUGUUCUCCUUUUUGUUUGGCAAGUAAGCAUACUACUAUUAUUACAUAUCUUGCUCAUGCUGAACUGAUGAAUUUGGCGUAUAUGCGGGGCAUCUGAUAGCGUGCCCCACUGAUGCUACCUGAAUGUUUAAUUGUUUAUUGUCUCUAAAUUGCAAAUUGAUUCCAUACGUAUGUUAGAGAAUGUUACCUUUUCGUGUACAACAUUCCUAGUGGUCAUGAACAGAAUUUGGGUUCACAGAAUUGUUGUGAAGUGAGAUCUAUGCAUAUUCAUUUCUGAUCAUCAAGAUUGCAUGGUUGGUAUUAUGACAACUAGUUCUGUUUGUUUCACCUGAUUUGCUCAUGGUUAUGCAAUCUUACAUUCAAUACUUAAAAUUACAUGAACUACUGUAAUACUUUAUCUCAUGCUCAUGCAUCUGUGAGACUGAGAGAGAGAAAAAUAACGCAUAAAUAGAAACUAAACUCCCGUACAUAGCACAACCUGUUCUAUAAAUUAGCAUUCCUCCCCAUUAGUGAUGAAGCUAGAAGCUCAGUUUCAUUCAGAGGCCAUCCCUGCAGCUAACCUCCGCCCCCUAUUCUUGGAAUCACACAAAACUAUAGCUUACAUCCUGGCUUGAUACAAGAAGAUAUAUCAGUUCUAGUGCCAAAAAUCGUAGUUCUCAAUUGAGAUGGCUCAGAAUCUCCAUGUACUAUGUUUCCUGAUUUUUUUCAUUGCCUUGAACCUGCAAAGUGUUCUCUCGUGGAGGAUCCAGAAUUCUACAAAUAAUAUUGGUGAUCAGUGCCCUCCGCAGCCCCAUCCUUUAGGUAUGUGCAAGUCACGAGUAGCAGCUUAUGGCUAUCCAUGUGAAGAAUAUCAGGUCACAACAGAAGAUGGCUAUAUUCUUAGCCUAAAGAGGAUCCCACAUGGUGUUUCUAAUGCUGAUAACUCGACUGAGGAUAGGACACCAGUACUUCUAUUCCAUGGGCUGCUGGUGGUAAGGACAUUGUUGAACAUAACACAUACUAUAUGGAUUCUGUUUGCGACUAAAAUGAAUAUGUUGAUUGGACAGGAUGGUUUCUGUUGGGUACUAAGUACACCAAAACAAUCACUUGCCUUCAUUUUGGCAGACAGUGGCUAUGAUGUUUGGAUUGCCAACUGUCGUGGAACAAAGUCUAGUCGGAAACAUACCUCCCUCACCCCAGAAGACCCGGUUUGCAUCUCUAGCUUGAUUAAGAAACUGCAUGUCAUAUAUUUCACUAAAAGAAUACUUGCAUAUCUUUGCAGGAUUUCUGGGACUGGACAUGGGACCAACUUGCUGAUUAUGAUCUUCCUGCAGUACUUCAGUUUGUCUAUAAUCAAACAGGAGGCAAGAAAGUCCACUAUGUCGGUCAUUCCCUGGUAUUCUUAUGACCCUAUUUAAUAUACUAAUGGGUUGGCUCUUGGGAGGAUGCUGAAACUUUUGCUAUUUCCUAGGGAACCUUGAUUAUUCUUGCAGCCUUCUCAGAGCACAAGUUAAUAGACAUAGUGAGAUCAGCUGUGUUACUCUGCCCAAUUGCUUAUCUGCAUAGGAUGAAAUCCAGACUCAUAUGGCUUGCGGCUCGUAUCUUCCUUGCAGAAGUAAAGCUUGUAGAAACCUCCUUAUUCUUAUUGUUAAUUAUAAUGGUCAUGUUCGAUGUUUUAACUAUAUUUGUUUUUUGUAUCAUGCAGACAAUUCACAUGCUGGGUUAUCAUGAGUUUAAUCCUGUUGGGUAGGUAUCUCUGCUACAACUUCUUGUAUUUCUUAUUACGAAGAGUAUAAAGUACGCGGGAUUCAAUAACAUUGCUUUUCAUCACAGUCACGUACUAUUUAUGUGUAGUUGUGUGCUCAAAAGCUCUCUGAUGAGCUCAUAGAAGCUGAAGCAUACUAUGAUGUAGAAUAGCCUAACAGGGGUCCUUUGCUGUAAGGGGAAAAACAUUCUACCAGUGACUUGUUUAAAAUGUGCAGAUAGUGUGUGCUGUUAUUUUGGGUAACCCAUCUCAAAUCUUAUCUGUGAGUGUGUUAGAUCAAGACUUGAUUGUUGAUGCUACGAAUGGUCUGCUGCAUUACAGGCCAGUUGCACAAGAACUGUUGGGUGAAGUCUGCACCGACCCUGAAGUUGAUUGUUAUGAUAUAUUUUCAGCAGUAGCAGGUACCGGUGUUACAUCCACUUUAUUAAAUUCCGAAAAAAAUAUAUGUGAUCCCGGUGCUUGGCCAUGAUCGUAUUAACUGUGGUUUCAAUGAAUUUGAUCUGGUGACCAAAGGACCGGACUGCUGCCUCAAUACUUCGACUACGUGCAUCUUCCUACAGCAUGGUCCACAAUCAAGCUCUGUGAAAAAUAUGAUUCACAUGUCGCAGUGUAAGAAUCUUUAUCGGAAACUAAGGAACCAUUGCCCAAAGCCCAGUUGCAGCGCUAACUUCUCUUUUUCUCAAUUUAUGUGUCAUAAGUGGUCAGGAAAGCAGGGAUCAGAAAGUACGACUACGGAAACAAGAAGGAGAACAUGAAGCACUACAACCAGCCAGAGCCCCCGCUGUACAACCUCUCGUCCAUUCCGCCCCAUGUCCCCUUGUUCCUCACCCAUGGCGGCCAGGAUUUCCUGGGUGAUGUCCCAGACACCAGGCACCUCCUGCGGACUCUGGUCAGGCAGCACGACAGUGAUGACAUCGAGGUGCUGUACAUGCCAGACUACGCUCAUGGUGACUUUGUGAUGGGUUACAAUGCUCCACAACUCAUAUACAAGCCCAUGGUAGAAUUUUUCAAGCGCCAUUGACACUGAAAACCUAUACUACAGGUCACUUCAUCAUGAGCUGUAGUAAAUAGCAAUAGUUUCAGGUCAGCUUUCGGUUUAUGAUUGUAUGAAUCACACAUGUCUCUGCUCUCAUAGAUGAAGCUUGUCGGGCCAUGCUAGGGUCUCAUUUACCCAAUUCGAUUGCUAUAUAUUGCCUUAAGUAAAUAAAAAAUUCAUAGCUUGUCACACUAUCUCAAAAGUAUGAAUUUUUCCUUCUCACCAUUGGGUUUGAACUUCGAACCUCAUUUCCUUUCUGUUUGCCACUUGGUUCUGAACACUGAGAUGUAGCCCAAACCAUACCCACUGCCCAGGUGCAAGAAGGAAAAUGCUCCAGUUUGAAGGCUUUAAACUUUUAGUUUAUUGGCUUAUUGCUCCCCCAUAAGGGAGGGGCUGUUUAAUUUUCCUUUUGUGUUAUGUCACUAUAUAGUGCAGAGCAGAUUGGAUCUGACUUUCUGAACUGGAGCAUAUUAGGGCAGGCCUGUUUUGAACCAACUUCUUAUUAUUGUUCAUAAAUUUAGAGCCCAGUCCAGCCUGAUACACCGUAGGUUCGGGCUGGGCCAGGUAUGAGCCCAAUUCAGCACAGAUACACAUACUCUGUUUUUUUUCUUUUUUUGGCUCUUUUCUUCUGUUUUUAAGUUGGCCUGGUCCAUGGAGAGUAGGCGACCAAAGCCAGAAGAAAAUCCCAUUACUCCAUUGGUGUUCAGUGUUGUUCCCAUGAGAAACCAGAAUUUAGAGAGGGCUUAGGAAGCAGUAUCUGAGAGUUUGGCGCUACAGCCGGCAGAAGAGCCAACGGUGCCCAGGUGUCCUUCUGCCCUGCCUACCUGAACCUUUUGUUUAGCCAGACGGCCUCAUGAGAAUCGCCGAUGUCCUCUCCCUGGGAGCCGUAACUGUUGCCAUCGAGCUUGAUGGGACCUGAAGAGAUAUUUAACGGCGUGAGGUUGUUGUGAACUGGAGAUGCGUGUCAGCGUGUGCUUGCCGUCUCAUAAUUCCGACGUCUCAUUAGAACCGGAAAUCGCAUUAUGGUGCUAUAACCUUUUUUCUCUUAUGAAUCAUGAACAUUUCUAUAGGAAACAAAUUUUCGUAAAUUUCGUUAGUAAAAUUCUUUGUGCCGGGAAACAAGAGGAAAGGAAAGGAAAUAAAAACAGAAACUGUCCCCACUGCAUUUCUUUUCUCGAGUUGGAAGCAGCAAAUGAACCCUUUCUCCGGUCCAACUGUUCAUUCCCUCCUUUUGUGUCACCAAGAGUUGCCCUACACAAUUUGGCUCCGCAAACCGAGCCAGUUGUUCCUUGAUAUGUGGCUCUGCUCCUUUGCCUCCAAACUGAGUUAUCUGUGCUAUCUGACCGACCGCCCAAAGGGGCAGGGAAAUGGUCUUGAUUAUUGAAUAGUGCUCCACAUUGACCCCCAGAAUAUUCUGCCCCUCGUUUCAAAAAAGAAUAUUCUGCCCCCAAUAAUUCCCCAGUCAAUUGUUUCUUUAUUUUCAUUUUCCUUAGGAAUCAGCUCAGUCAAUCGGUUUUCAGCCAGACCGAUCCGGUUAACCAAAAUAAAAGAAUUGCAAUUAUUGACACAAGUCUCGCCGAUGAUUCCCUUUGACCAGCAUCUUUCUUUGGCCUGUCUUCGCCUGAGAGAAAGGGGCCGUUCUGAGUUCUGACUGGUUCGUGUCAAGCAGCCCUUGGGAUUUGCAGUGGGGGUGUCAACUUCUUCCCCUGAUAAGCACCAAGCUGUAGACGAAUGUUUUAUCAAAAGAAAAAAAGCUGUAGACGAAUGUAUCUAGUCAUGUUGCACAUGCCUGAUAAGCCAACCAACGAGCGGGAGAGGGAGAGGGAAAAGAAGAAAACACCUGGUCUGACCUGGCUUCCGUGUUUCAUCGUCAAUCGAUCGAUCAAUGGAACUGGAAUGGGACGGAGCACGAAGCCACGAUUCCACGAACUUUAAAAAAAUACCAGCAUAGAAAGAGGUUGCCGUUUCUUUACUGGUGGAUCAUGUGUGACUCAGCACCCCGGAGUUUUGUCACUUCCCGAGCCGUCGACUUCAGAGCCCCGGAACCUGAAGCCUCAGGCCACCGGCAAAACGACACCCCCGCCGUUUCUUUACUGCGUGGGUGAAAGUGAAACCGCGACGCGUGACGACACGUCGCGAGCAGUCGGGAACCUUGUGCUGCCGCGGCCAGCCAGCUUCUGGAUUCGCUGGAAGUGGCAGUGGUUAGCGUUCCGGAGGGCAUCUUCUUUCGAGGAGCUAUUUAACUUUUUUUUGCCAUCAUCACCAGUAUGUAAGCAACGUGCUUGCAAACAUACAAAACGUAACCGAAUUCUUUGCCAUUGGAUUGACACGCGAGCAGGUCAGCAUGGCGGGGGCAGCGAAAAGACCACGCUGCCCCCGCCUUAUCCACAUAAGGCUCGCCAGGCCAAAUGCCGUCCGUGUCAGGGAACUGCCGGACGAACCGCUCCGCCUCGGCGCCCCUCCGCCACGUGUUCCACGCGAACACCGCCCUGACGGCGGCCACAGCGCCGACCGCCGCGGCGAUGACCUCCCGCCGCCGCCACGACACGAGGCAGAACACGCCGGCGCUGAGCGCGGCCGCGGCCGCCAGCACUUAGCACGCGAACGGGACGCCCAGCCUGGCCUUCCCACGCGCCGCCACGGCGCUGCCCGCAGUUUCCGGCGGCGCCACCGCCACGCCGCCAGCUCCCCUUCCUCGAGGACCGUUCGCCGGCGAGGGUGCUGGGGACGGGGACGGGCCAACGAGGAGCCCCGAGUGCGAGAGCUGCGACAGCGGGCCGGACGCCGGCGAUAGGCAGGGCAGCGGGCCGGAUCUCCGGCGCGAGGAGGAUGCCGGCGCCAAUGACGGCUUCCGACAAGGGGAGAAGCACCUGCUAGGAGCCAUCUCGUCCGCGCCCACGAGCUCCGGCGGGGAGCCAGCCUCCUCGUCGCCGCCCCACGGCUCGGCCUCGGCGGGGGUGAGCGGCUCGGUAGCCAAGCUGGAGGAGGAGGACGAGCGGCUGAGGCGAGAGAACACGAGGCCCGCACGCGGCAAUUUGGUUCCGUUCUUCAUCCAUAUAAAGCGACCCCAGGCCCUGGAAUUCAUGAUGCAUCGAUCGUAUCACGCUUCCAAUGCCAACAGAUCAUCAGCACAAGCACGCACGCCUCUACUGAUCCAUCCAUGGCGUUCGAGGAGCUGCUGCAGCUGUUGGCGCGGCGCGAGGCGGUGGAUGCGAAGCAGGACGAGGUGAUGCGCCUCAUCAUGCUGGCCACCACCGAGGGCCUGGUCCUGGCGUCGGGGGAGAUCGUGUCCGGGGACCCCGAGUACGCGGCGGCUCCCGGCGGCGAGGCCAUGGCGGAGGCAGGCCGCCGCGCUGGGCGCGCGCGCCGCGGAGUACGCCGCAAGCGGAGGCAGGUCCGAGUACGCCGCCGUGUACGCCGAGAGCCGCCGCUCCCGCCUCCUGUCCGGCGUCGGGCCGGACACGUACAUCCCGCUCCCAAUCUGAUGCAUCCCCUUCCCGUCACGGCGAGAAGCAGCAGCGAGAAGAGGAUAAAGCGGGGGGCAGCGUGGUCUUUUCGCGUGCCCCCGCCACGCUGGCCUGCUCGCGUGUCACUCAACUCAGCAAAAAUGGCAAAGAAUUCGGCUGCGUUUGUAACAAUGUUUUUUAAAUCUCGCCUCCGGUAACAAAAAGUUAAAUAACUCUUGUUUCGAACGAAACAAAAUCGAGUGAGAUGUGCGUCAUGUGAUGAUGUGAAUUUUAAACGGGGAGCGGCCGAGCCCGGCUGGAUCACACAUGAUGGCUGAGCGGGUGAGUGGAUCGAUCGCACGGGGCUGGCCGUGUUCCGCGGCGCACCGUCAGCGUGGGGGGAGGCGCGUGCGUGCGUUGAUUCCGCCUGCAAUAAGCAAAUCAUUUGCUGGGGUUCUCGCGGCGCCGAGACCCGCCACAGCUCCGUCCGUGACCGUGAGCGGUGGAGUCACAGCCAUCCUCGCGUCGCGCACCACCGCAAACCCGUGCGUGAUCAUUGGUCAAGAUCGCGGCACUCGGUGAUGAUUACACUGCAGAGGGUCGGUGCCAUGCACAGCACUGAAUAGUGCUGAAUAUACUGAUUGGACGCGGCACUCAUUGUUUGAUCCUGUUUGAAUAGUCCUCGAUGGAACUCCAAAAGUUAGACGCGGCACGUCUGAACUCGUAAGCUCCUGUAGUCACGCGAACUCGAUCACGAUCGGGACAAUUUCUCAACGCUCGAGUAAUCAUAACCCCUGUCAAGAUCGUAACCCCUGAUCGCAAGUAUGGCCUAUCAUCAUCUCGCUCCCCGUCGCCCUCCGCGCGCAGGGCCCUUCAGAUCACUGGAAAGGCCCACGCCGAACCGUUCAAGAACGCGUCACCUCCGGGCUCCGGGGAAGAGGAGGAGGGAAAAAAUCAGCCGGGUUCCCCUUGGCGUCGGCCAAGCGGCGGCGGCGGCGACACGGGCCGGGCAGGCGGGGGAACGGUCCCUUUCCGCGGUAGGGACCGGUGGCGAACGGGAGACGGGCCGGCCAGCCGGGUGUCAGCCACGCGCGCGACGCGACACCAUGCCUUUGCCGCGACGACUCCUGAGCGCGACGCGCGCGCUGGUGGGGAGGGGAAACCGGGAAAAGUCGUGCGACUGUGCGAGAUCCUCCUGCUGCCGCGCACCACGCCCUGUCCGGGACGCCGCCGAUCCGCCCGGCCCCGGCUGGCGUGUCCGCGUCAAGACGGGUGGGAUAUACGCCGGCGCACUUCUCCGACACUUGUCCACGAAUGGUUCCUGCACAAAAGUGUGUCAAAAGUGGGUCGAGAGCGGCUGGUCCGGCUGCUGCCUGCUGGUGUCCUUCACGUCCAUUCAUUUCUGCAGUUACUGAACCAUGCCGGUGCUUGGGUCGAUUGUGCGUUGUAGAUUCAAGGAUGUGUCUCGUGUCGUGGACAGAGGCAACCAGUACCGUACUCCAGAUUGUUGUAUAUUGGGCCCAUGUUCCUCGAGGAUAUGGUAUUGUAUGACCCAUGUUAGUUUCUUGUCCAGUUCCAACUUCCAAAUGAUGCAAGUGGGCAGGUCUAGACAAAGGCACAACACUCCAGCAUACUAACAUAUUAACAUAUGACCCUCCUAUACCAAUCUGAUUAUCUGAAAACGGUGGUUACGAAUACCAUACGGCGGCGCCGGCGAGACUCGUCAGCGAGAGUACCGCAAUGCAAGACAGCCGAGACCUGGCUGCCGCCGAGUCUCCAGCGUCUGCACGUCAAAACCCCUCGCCGCCCGUCCUGCCGUGAGAAAACUGGUAAAAAUCGCCGUUUUCCCCUGUGACCCGCCGCCGCCCCGCCCUCUCCUCUGGCGCCGAAGGAUGGAAAUGGAAGCAUCCAACUCUUCCACUCCCACUUCCUCCGCCGUCCUCUGUCCCCCCGCCACGCACCUGCACGCGAUCCCAACCGCGCCGGAUGCCUAGAUCCCGAGCGCACUGCGCACGCAACCCCGUUCCCAGCCAGCACACCGCCACCAUUAUAUAACGCCCCCCGACUCUCUCUCCUCCCUCUCGGAUUCCACUUGGACUCUGCCACCACCACCCGCGCCACGCCACGCACAAGCGAAACAGAGCCCGACCAGAGCAGCGCCGCGCGAUCCUCCUCAGCAGGCCCGCAGCCAUGGGGCGGCGGCCGAGCGCUUCCAACGCCGCGGCGGUGGCGUCGGCGGAGCCUCUGCUCCCGUCGGCGCUGAAGCGUGGCGUGAUGGAGCGGUGCGCGUCGCGCCCCGACGACGAGCUCCAUUGGUUCCGCUCCUGCCUGCGCUGGGUGUGCAUGGACCACUCGGGCCCGUGCCAGUCCGCGCUCUCCUGGCUCCUCUUCCUCGCCCUGUCCGUCGUCGUCCCGGCCGCCGCCCACUUCCUCCUCGCUUUCCGCGCCUCCCGCCGCCCCAUCUCCGCGGUCGUCCAGCUCUCCCUCUCCGCCGCCUCGGCCGCGGGCUUCCUCUGCCUCUCCUCCUCCUUCCGCCGCAUCGGCCUCCGCCGCCUGCUCUACCUCGACAAGCUCCGCACCAAGAGCGACCGCGUCCGGUUCCACUACACGGCGCGCCUGGCCUUCUCCUUCCGCCUCCUCGCGUCCCUCGUCGCGCCAUGCUUCGUCGCCGAGGCCGCGUACAAGGCCUGGUGGUACGCCACCUCCGCCGACCGCGUCCCCUUCUUCGCCAACGACGUCCUCAGCGACGUCCUCGCGUGCUCCCUCGAGAUGGCGUCGUGGAUGUACCGCAGCGCGGUCUACCUCCUCACCUGCGUCCUCUUCCGCCUCAUCUGCCACCUCCAGGGGCUCCGGCUCGAGGACUUCGCGGGGUCCCUGCUCGAGGACGUCGAGGAGGGGCGCACCGGCGUCGCCAGCGUCCUCAGGGAGCACCUCGACAUCCGCAGGCAGCUCAAGGUCAUCAGCCACAGGUUCAGGAAGUUCAUCGUCGCCGCCCUGCUCAUCACCACCGCCAGCCAGUUCGCAUCCGUGCUCCUCACCACGCGACGUGACUCCGUCGACAACCUCCUCACCACCGGCGAGCUCGCGGUGAGUCGCUCUACUGCUUAAUUGCUCCACCCCGUGACCAAUUUUUGUUUUGAAGCCCUGCACCCAAUUAAUUAGACACAAUUGCUAAAUUCCCAAAUUCGCUCAUGUUCUUACGGCAAACCCUGAAUUCCUGAUCGAGGAGAGGAAAACUUUGCGGCGUCUCCUUUCUUAAUUUAGACGGAACCAAUAAUUGCCGAUGUGUCACGUUUAAUUAAGCGCAAUUGGCAUAUAGAAUCAUUCAGCUGAUUGAUGGAUUGCCUACAAGAGGGGGUCAAGAAUUUGGGCCUAACCAAAUCGAGAAAACAGGUGGUCUGAACGCUGAAUUGGACUGCAAAUCCUCGAUGGUUGUACUGUAACCUCCUAGCCUUUUUAGUUAGUUAGUGAUAGUGUGGUGCUAGAAACAGCAAAGCUGAGGUGUGACGUGAUAUGCUCAACUAGCUAUCUGUCUUUGUCCGGUGCCUGGAUCUUAAUUCUGAAAAGAUAUGUCCUCCUCCAUCUCUGGAGCCGAAGUGGCAAAACCCCUCUGCCAGGAUGCAUGUAAUUGACAUCACAACAGCUAUUCAUGCUGAUGCUACCGGGAGCCAACUGAUGAAUACAACUUGGAAUCCCUGUUGUAGAUAUAAAUCAGCUAUUCAUUCCUGAAUUUUGCAGCCACCAAAUGCGAUUUAGUCAGCACAGGUUGUCAUUUACUCGGUAGACAAGAUAGCAAUUGUCUGAAAGAGAUGCUUAGGAGCGUUUCGAACAUGCCAUAGUCAAAGAGUGGGAUUCCUGGUACUCACAUGCGUGCGCAUUCAUUCAACAACAAUCCCGUCGUUUACUGGCAAAAGAACAGUUACAAUAUUAGAGUAAGACCACGAUUUUAUCUCAACGACAGCUUCAAAAUCCUAACAGUGGUUCAAUGUUUCUACCGCUUUCGUUUGCUCCUUGCUGAACGGGGAUAUUCUAACGUUUUUCUUCACAUUUUUUUCCAGCUAUGUUCAGUCGUGCUCAUGUCCGGGCUCAUCAUAAUCCUGAACAGUGCCGCGAAGAUCACCCACCAGGCGCAGGCUCUCACCGGCCACACCACCAAGUGGCACGCCUGCUGCACCAUCGCGCCCGUCCAGGACGAGGAAGGGGAGCCCGGGUCCAACCAGAACUCCAUGAUCGAGCAGGACCCCUCGAGUGACAGCGACACGGAGUCCGACGAGUACACCGGCGACGACGAGGACCUGCUGGAGAACACCAAGAUCCAUCUGCCGCACGCGCACGUCAUCUCCUUCCAGAAGAGGCAGGCGCUAGGUAAUCAGCCUGCCAUUGUUGGCUUAAUUGCUCUCCUUCCUUCACCAUUCGUCUUCUGGCCUAAAUGUUGUUGACAACCGGCUUCGUGCGCAUUGCAGUGACAUACCUGGAGAACAACAGAGCCGGGAUCACUGUGUUCGGCUUCACGCUGGACCGGUCGUACCUGCACACGAUAUUCAUGCUCGAGUGGACGCUGUUCCUGUGGUUGCUCGGCAAGACAAUCGGCUUCUCUUGAAGGGGAAAGGAAGAAGAAGGUGCAGAUACACACGUCGUCCAGGUGGUCGUUCGUUCUUGGAAGCUGAAACGAGUUUUGGGUGCAAUUUUUUUGGUGAUCGAUGAGUUGUGCAUUUGUUUGAUCGCUGUGAAAUGGGUAAGGCCCUGUUGUGGAUGUCUGUAUAGUAGCGAUUUGUAUGCCAUCUGUAAAUUGCGUGUUGAUUACCCAUGCCACGGCCACCCUGCCAUGUAAAUGGGGGUUGUAGAGUAUCUGUUGGGGUUUGCAGGAUUGCAUGGCUAUUUUGGUGCGCGCGCCAUGCGUGCAGGUUGCAGCUUGGCGUUGCGGGUUUACAAUCUCGUGUUGUAAGCGUAGAGAAAUUUUUUAGGAUGUGAUGAUUCUUGGGUUCUUUUUAUUAGUAUAUAACAUACAUACUCAUACGAAGAUUUUUAAUAUGGUUCACUGUUUCAGCCUCAUAUGACGAAGAUUCCUCAUAUGUUAGCGCAACAAUUUUUUCCUCGUCUCUGCAAACAUUCAUUUUAUGCAAACCCCUUUAGGAUGGAAUCAACCUACGAGGCUCUUCCCCAUUUUUCUUCUUACGACACCUCCCCUUUCAUGAAUUUCAUUUGAAAUUUGCAACUCAUUGAUGAGCCGAUCUGCUGGUCUGCUGCCAUAGUUGCUAAAGGGCUUUGAAAAUUUCCUUCAUGUAUUGCUUUUCUUCCUGCUUUCCAUCUGCUUCGGGUAUAUUGGCACACAUAUGAAAUACCCAUUGUUUCGAAUUAGAGAUAUUCAGUGUAGCAAACAUUUCUGUAACAUCUUCAUCCAUCAAGGCCCAAACACACCAUGACAUCUAUGCUAGCACCACAAAUUUUACAUUCACAUGAUUCUGACAUAUUUCUUCUUUGUUCACCACAGCUCUAGUUUCUGGUUAGGUUGGCUCGAUGGCUCUACCGAAAUGAAAAGCCCUGUAAAACUAUCGAGCCCAGUAGCCUACAGAAAGCCCAACCAUUUCGGCCUAAAGCCUAUUCUUCUCCCCAUCCCGAGAAGGUCAAAAAGGGCAGGAAAAAAAUUGGGAAAACCAGACGGCCAAACCCCAAGCCCCGGCCCCAGACGCCAGCCGCCAGACCAGCUCGACACGCGGCCGCCGCAGACGAGAUGGCCGCCGGAGACGCGGGCCGCGCGCCGAUGCCGGCGGAUGCGCAGUCGCUGGUGGAGUCCUUCUGCGGCAUCACCUCCGCGACCCCCGCGGAGGCCGCCUUCUUCCUCGAGGGCCACAACUGGGCCCUCGAAUCCGCGGUUCAGUCCUUCUACGACUCCGCGGACGGCGACGCCGGCGCCGAGGCCGGCGCGGCCGAUCCGGCGCCCCCGCUCCCGGCCCCUCCCGCAGACGCAGGCGGCGCGGAUUCGGAGGACGAGGACUACGUGGCAGGCGGCGGCGGCGACGAGGACGAGGACGACGAGGACUACGUCGGGGAUGACGGCGACGGCGACGAUGAGGACGCCGCGCUCGCCUCUGCCGCGGCGGCGGCGGAGGAGAGGAGGAGGCCGUCGAAGAGGCUGAAGAGGAGCCACGACGCGCGGGGCGCGAGCGGUAGCGGCAGCAGGGCGGGUGGGCGUGCGAAUGGCGCGGGGAAUGUGAGGACGCUCUCCGAUCUCGGUGGGGGCAAGCGAGGUGCGGGGUCCGACGAGGACUCCGGAGAGGAUGAUGAGUGGGCACCACCACCCGAGUACUACACCGGCGGCGAGAAGAGGUGAUCUCUACUUGUUCUACUGGGUUCUGGGAUGAUUGUCUCAUUCCGAAUUAGAUCAUAGAUAGAGGAGGCACUGAUCUCUAGGGUUUUAGGUUGUCUUGUUUACCUUUCUCUGGAAUUGCAUGCUGAGGUUUGAAGGGGUGUCGUGCUGCUGAUAGGAUGGUAUGGUAGUCUUUGUGUUUCUGAUUAAUACCGAUUUUGGUGAAUUUUAAUCUUGCUCAGGCUCUGCUCCAUAUAGUUGCUUUGGACUCUAGUUCCUCUAAAUGACCUGAUCUGUUCUUAUCACAAGGCAUUAACCACAGUUGACGAUGUAUCUAACCAUGUUGCAACCCUUUUGACAAUGGUGCAAUGUCCCUGCAUUGGCUAGGAGUUUAUGCUCUUAUGAUAAAGUGCUGGAGGUUUUGCUUAGUAGUGAGCUGGAGGGCUAUGUGUUCGUUGUGAAGUUCUGAAGUUGUUGUCCCGUAAUAUGCAGCACUCAGAAGCCAUUGGCCCAAACUAGCUAGAAAAAUAUUAGAUCAAUCAUUUGCUAAGGGUCUCAAAACAUUUCCAAAAUUUGGUGGGAACCCAAAGAUGUCAUAAUAGUGAUUUCAUUAUUUCUAGCAGUAGCCUGUAGUUCUGAAAUCAUUCAAGCGUUGUUCCAGUUUUUUUAUGGAAUCUUCUAAUCCCUGCAUAGGAUGCGGAUGAAUGAUACUUCCCCUCUCCUUUUGUUUUGUUGCAUGAUUUUCUUGGAUGUAUGAAUUAUGUUUCUAGUAAUUAGAAUAAGUUCUAAACUCUGGAUGGCAUUGGGGUUGGAUUAUGUUGAUCUCUUUCUGUUCAGCCGCCUUUAGAUAUUUAUAAGUGUUUGGCUAACUGUGUUCCGUUUAAAAUGAAUUGCAAAAUGUUGAUCAAUUUUCACAAGCGACCCCAAUGAGGACCAAGAGUUCAGAGUUGUAUGGUUGAACUUAACUUUAUUUUAUUUCCUGAGCAAACUAUAGGACUUUCCACUUACUGCUUUUUAGAGCAGCUUAAAAACAACUGCUGUGCAGCACAGGGCAUGAGCUGCAACAGUGAGUGCCCCAUAGAAUGAUACAGUCAGGACUCCUAAUAAUAUGGAUGGUUUGUAUUUAAGAAGUAUAUUAUACUCUUGAUGUUCUAAAAUGCAUGCCUUCAUUGCUGUAGAAGCAUUAGGUGACUGGUGAGUGGGGGGCCGCCACCUGCACCUGAUAGCUGAUUAGGCAGGCUAGUCCUCAGCACCAGCUAGGAGGGUAGGGCCUAGUGCAUAGCUGGGCUAUUGAUGGCUGAAAACCAUGGUCAGAGAUGGACCUCUGGAAACUUUUACAAUGACUACCAGUUACUGAUGAUAGUGGGUUGUUAACUUGUUGAUUAGCAAUCUAUUAUGUGUUGGAAGGUGAGUUAUCGGGUUCAAAGUUAGUUGGCAUCUUUUGGCCAUACUUGCUUAAGUAUAACCUCUUAAUUUGAUUUUUUUGCCAUUAAAAUAGUAUACGGCAAACGAACCACACCUGAGUUUUGAAUGAUGGUGGGUUCUUGGUGGCUUUGUAUUCAGCCCUUUUUUGGCACUUAGUUGAGUCAUGGAAUCUGUCUUAAUACUGCAUCUGCAAAUAACCUGUUAAAAUUUUUGUGCUUGCCUCAUCUGAACAGGAAAUUGGAACAGUACGAGUUCUGUUGCAUGCUAGUCCCAGUUUGUAAUAGUGAUGUGUUUCUGUUUUGCUUUUUUUGAACUGUUCGGAGGAGUUAUAUUUCCAUGUCAUAGUGUAGGGCUGCACUGCUGAUAAUAGUACAUGAAGUAGAGAGUUCUAUCAUCAGUUGGCUGCUUGUAUCUGAUGUUUUCUACAUUUUCAUCGUGGGCCAUCUUGACUAGACUAGUAAAAUCGUCAAAUUGUAAGCAAGCCUACUUCUGCUAUUUGUAGUAAACUAUUAACUUUGGGAAGCAUGAAAAAAAGACUUAGUAACCAACUUUUUUGACCUGUCCCUGUCAGUAAUUUCACCAAUACGCUGUUUUUUAAUAUUUUAUGCUUAAUAACUUUUGUUUCUAUCAUCAGCGGAAUGGUCGUUAGAGAUCGAUCAAAACGUAAAAACAAUGCAGAUGAGGUAUUCAAGCAAGCUAAAACGAAGGGGGCUAAGCAAGGCCCAUUUGAGUCUCGCCGGAGAUCUAGUUCAAGGAACUUUACUGGGACUGGCAGACUUCUGACAGGUGAAACUGUACAGCGUGAUGCACCACAGCCGCCAGAAGAAAUUGUUCACAACAUCUACUUCUGGAGCAAUGGCUUUACAGUAAAUGACGGUCCACUUAGAAGUUUUGACGAUCCAGCAAAUGCAUCCUUUUUAGAGGUAAAGAACUUUGUACUGUCCAACUUCACAUAUCAUAUUUCUGCUUUACUAUGCCUGCUUUUAUGGUGGGUACCACCCACCUUCUUUAAUUCUACAUAUAACUUUUGUUUACCUUUCCCUUUUGUUUUGAAUCCAGAAUAGUACCUUCUAAUUAUGUUUUUUUUAAAAAAUCCUGUGGACACAUAGCCCGGCAUUUGUACUUGCGGUGUGUCAGACUUAAUUGACAUAGAUUUCUGACAGAGGUGAAUCAAUAAGAUCAAUAAGACACAUAGCCCGGCAUUUGCACUAUUGCCUCUCAGCUGGUUUCACCAUAACGUCUUGCAACUGUUUUAUUUUUGGACUGGUCCCCUAUUAAUUUAAUAUAUUGCAGGAUCUGUUUGGUAGGUAAGAGGGAAGUUUUAAUAACUAGUAGCUUCAGAUUUCCGUACUAGGGAACAUAUUGUUUCGGUUUGAGAAAUCUAUUUCUCAGUGAAGGCCUAUUUCACAUUUGAAUUUGGAGUAUGGGAAGGAAAACCACUUAACCAAAUGUCCAAAUGGAAGUAACACUUGACUUAUGUUUACCAAGUUAUAUCUUAUAUGAAUCAGCUAGUCCAGCAAAACAUUAAGCUGUUAAGCAAGUGUUAUACUUGAACGCUUGCCACAUACAAAAGCUCCACCAGGUAUUUGACAUAGUGGAAGAGGGCCACUGUGUUUUCUCUCUAUAAAAUUGCAUAUCCUUGAAAUGUCUUCGUUUAGUUUUAUUGUGUCUUGUAUUGUUCUCUCCUUUGGUUUUGUUGCCCUUUCCGUGCAUGAAUUUGGUUGUACUGCAUGUUAAUAAUCUUAACCGUCUUCUUUUUUUCUUUUACUAGAGCAUCAAGAAUUCUGACUGCCCAACUGAACUUGAGCCAGCUGAUGGGAAAUCUAAGGUUAAUGUGAAUCUUAUCCGGAAGGAAGAAGAAUUUACUGUAAGUAUCAUUAUCCUAAGAAUGUUCCACUGAUUCAAUUGUUCCACAAAGUGCUUAACCUUUUCCUAAGCAAUAUCCAUCAUUGCCUUGAUACAGGAGCCAGUCAAGCCUGCUGCUCCAUUUCAAGGGGAACGAAGAACUCUCGCUGCCCCUUCUGAUAAUAACACAUCUAGUGCUGCUGCUUCCAGUACAACCGCUGCCCCAAGGACAAUCACAGUGGACGAUUCUUUGCCAUCAACCUCCCUCCAAAUCAGGUUUGCAGAUGGCAGCCGCUUGGUCGCGCGUUUCAACACAAGCCACACAAUUAGCGAUGUGCGGGCGUUCAUCGACGCAACAAGGCCAGAAGCCAGCGAAUACAUGCUUCAGGCCGGGUUCCCCCCUAAGCCGCUCGAGGACGUGACCAAGACCAUUGAGGAAGCUGGCGUGGCCAACUCGGUGAUCAUUCAGUCAGUCUAGUAGCUCAGUAGCUCGGCACUACAGGUGCCGACCAUAUUCGUGAAACAUGCUAGGCAUCUGAAGCUAGCACCUUCCUUGCUUUUUUUUUUCCCUUGCCCCAUAUUGUUUCUCAAAUUUAGCUUCCAACCUUCUAUGGCUUCGUCGUUCAGUAGCUACUGGAGGUAUUGAGAGUGUAAAACACACCUGGGUGUACCCGUCUUAUUCAUCUAUAGCUUAAUACUAAUCACUUGGCUUGCAUGUCUCCCUCAGCGUUUGGUGGGUUAAAGUGCCCGCUUGUUCUUAUCUGACCCCCCUGGUUGGUCGAAUGUCGGCACUUGUGGACAAGGUUGGUUGCACCAGAUGGCCAAUUUAUUCCUGAUUGCGGUUACUGAUGUCCGCACGAUUGCGACCCUGCGAGGUGAGUUCUGGUCUAGCUCGCAUAUGAUAACAUGUUGGGGGUUAAUUUUGUGAUUCCCUUUUGGUCCAGUCUGAUCGAAUCUGGUCGAUAGCUAGUCUUUUCUAAUGCUAAAUGUCCAUUCCUUUGUUGGCAUGUUUGCUUGAUCAAGAAUCCAAAUCUUAUUAUAGCACUGCGCACGAGAUUUGGCACCAUUGUAUCCUUUUCGUUUAAUCUUUUCAAUUGGGGGCGGUUAAACCUGAAUGAUGCUGGUGGCCGGAACGUAUCGCCGGAGGUUUCUGCAUCAAAUUUUCGUUUCAAAAUUUUGGCUCGUAUUUUCGUCAUUGGUACCCAUCGUCGAGCUCAGUUGCUGCCGGUCACGAUCUAAAAUGGUACCCAUCGUCGAGCUCAGUUGUUGCCGGUCACGAUCUAAAAAUCCAGCGAAACCGAGACGCUUUGAUUCAUACCAUUACAAUUUUCAAGAAUUGAAAAUUUGCCAUCGGUUGUGUCACUGGCAGCUGGGAGCCACCUCAGUCACUGGUAAUGGCAUUUUUCAAAUUAUUGAAAAUUGUAAUGGCAUGUAUGGAAUUAUCCUUUUUUUUCAAUGAUUUUGUUCUCAACUUCAUGUGGCCUUGGAGCGAGCCAUAAGUACGAGGAUCGCGUCUCCUUUCUAGUUGCGCGUUGCUAUCCGGACUUUGAAUAGUGAAAACCAUUUGCAUCCAGUUGAGCCGCAUCAUCGAUCAUCGUCGCCAUCACUGUUCCGUUACCCCUUCCUUUUCCGCGCCGUCCCGUCACCGUGCAAGUCGCUGCGACGUGGCCUGGCUUUUUGAAGCAUCAACACCGGUGAUGAGACGGGGAGAGAGUGAUCAGCGAUCGAAGCAGAUCGGCAUCGCCUCCGACCCAGGUCGGUCCAGCCAGUCAUCGAACACCUCCCACAGCAGGUAGGUGACUGGUGAGUGGCCGCGUCCGCUCCGGCUCGGUUGCCCCAGCGCCGGAGAAACCCAAUGAUUUCUCGCUUCCCAUCACUGUGUGGUCAGCCAGGCAUUGAGGCAUGAUGAUGGCGCCCCAUCCGGGAUCCUGUAUCACGGCCCUCGCGCCGUGCCCGCCGAGCAUUUCCUCCUCCUGUUUCCUACGUCCCCAGAGGGCAGAGGCCGCGACGCCGGGCAGAGGCCGCCGACAAAGCGGACGCGCGGAUCCUAGCGCUGCUCAUUUUAGAGCGUAACGACGACGCCGGGACGGGAUCGGGAAGUGUGGCUUCUGGCCGUCUCGCUGCAGGCUGCUGGUUGAAUUGAUUACAGUGGCAGCCCGCACCCGGCAGGACAGUUGGGCAAACCGGAAGCUUGCUCUGCUUUGGUGCCGCGUUUUGUCUGUUUGGGGUCGCUGCUACGUCUUUUGGCGUGCUCUGUCUUUGGAAAGCACGGCCUGGGCCUCAACCUCGUACCGUCGUACUCAUACAGGUUACGAGUCACGGGCGCGCUCGAUUACCUCCCUUCCCUUAAGCAGUGAUCUGAUUGGCGCGCUGAGCUUAGGCGUACAAAUCAGAAUUCCCCCAGCACAUGGCAUGUCUAUUACCAUCAUGGACGGGGAAAUCAGGUCGAGAGCCCAGAGCCGAACACGAGGGUUACCAGUUACCACCAGUCGCUACCAACUUUCCAAAGUGCCAGUAGGCUUUCUUCCCCCACCCUGAAAACGCAGAGAGGCUGCAUUCAUUAUGCUAAGCUGAGAAAACAUUUACUAGCACGACAGUAGUUUUAACGGACUGAACACCAUCUGCUGGAAAAAAGAGUUGUCGGUUUGCCUUGGCUCCCCCCCGUGCCAUGGAACAACUUUUCUGGGCUGGAAGCGGACCCAGCAUGCUUGGCCAAUGGUUCUCUGAUGUGCCACCCGACGGACGAACGAAUCCGGCACCCCGUCGUUCAGAGCGCCCACACCCACUCUUUCCCAGUAGUUUAGAGCUCGCGAUCGUCCUCGAUCCGGCAGCGCAUGCACGAGCAGUGGAUGCGAGACCCGGGUCGCACUCCACAUUUGGUAGUGCCCAUCACGCCGCCCCCCUCUUCAUUCUCUAGUCUUCUGCCUUCUCCCCAGCAUUUAGCCCCGAACCCACCGUGUACCCACACUGCGGCCAGCAGCGCGGAGAGGAAUUAAGCUUUGCCGACACCACACUGCAUCCCAUUCCCACCGGGUACCUGGAGCAAGCAUGGCAUCGCAGCCCGCGCGCGCGUGAGCUGUCUGUCGCCGGUGGAUAAAGCCGUGGUGGAGCGGGGAAGGGGGGAAGGCAUUGGCCAUGGUGAUCGUCGCCAUGGCCGUGUGAUGCUCUAGCUAGAGGAGCACGCGGUGGCCGGAAGAGUUUUUUUUUUGUUUCCUGUAGAGAGACAAGGGGAGCAGAAGUAAGCGGGGAGAGGUCAGGAAUGGCGGCACUGGCUGCCUCUUGGCCUUGGGCCGGCCUCUUCUUCCUCCUCGCGCUUCUGGCGGUGGCGGGAGCCGACACCGACGCCGGCGACGGUAAUGCUCAGCGUUCUUGGUUUCCUGGAACGCGUCUGCUAAAUCGCUACGGAUCGUGUCUGAUCGGUGCUCUGGUUCUUUGCAGUCGCGGCGUUGGGGAACCUCUACAGCUCCUGGAACAGCCCGGCGCAGCUCACCGGCUGGUCCGCCGCCGGCGGCGACCCCUGCGGCGCCGCGUGGGCGGGCGUCACCUGCUCGGGCACCGCCGUCACCUCAAUGUAAAGAUACUCUCACUCACAUAAUCUCACAGACUCACUGAGUCUAAAAACUGUAUAGCAAUGAAAACGACUAAAUGUUCUGGCACAUUCGGAUUUGAUGAAAUCCGAGCUGUCGGUUUUUGGUCUUUUCUCUCCCCCAACUGCAAUUCCCAUCCGUGGAGGUUUUCAGAUAGUGAGUGCCUUGCAAUGGGCGCGGAAAGGCUCUGAUGAAUCUGAAUCUUUUCUUUUCUUUUCUCAUGCUUGCUGAAAAGUUCGUUACUGUUGCCUAGCAUUUAGAAGUAGCACAUCCACUGCUGCUGCUACUCUGCUUUUUUCCCAAAAAGAAGGGUUGCUGCUGCAGCUCAGCAGCUGUUAUGGCCAAACUAAUAUUAUAAGAGCAAUCAUCAUACUGAAUCGGUCCAUGGGAUAAUAUAGAUAUAGUGUACACUGCCUUUCCAUGUCGCUAUGAAGGCAGUCAUGAUUGUAGAAUGUGUAACCCUGCUCUGGUAAAAUAGUAAAUGUUGUCCAGCAUAACUUUGUAACUGAAAUUCAUAACCUUUUCACCACAAUUGCAUCUAAAAAGUUAUGAGAAAAAAGCACACUGAAUUGUUCUGUUUCUUUCGACGCUUUGCAGCAAGCUUUCUGGUAUGGAGCUGAAUGGUACUCUUGGUUACGAACUGUCCAGUCUACAGGCACUGAAAACAAUGUAUGAUCUAACACUCAAGAGUUGCGAUUACAACUCUUCAGCGUUUAGUGUCAUUUUCAUAAUUUAUGUCUUUCAUUUCUUAACUUGCAGGGAUUUAAGUAACAACUUCUUGCAUGAUUCAAUUCCUUACCAGUUGCCAUCAAACCUUACCUAUCUGUAAACUCUCUCAACCUGUACUUGUUGAUUCCUUCUUUUUGGUUCUAGCAAUUUGACUCAAAGUGAUUACAGGAAUUUGGCGAAAAAUAACCUUUCUGGUAAUCUUCCGUACUCCAUAUCCACCAUGGUUUCACUUGAGUACCUGUAAGUUGCUUCACGUUACAAAGAUGUAACUCGUUCUAUAAUGAUUUUUUUUAGCUGACACAAUCUAACUGCAAGAGAACCACUGCAUGCAGCAAUCUCAGCCACAACUCAUUAUUUCAGGAAAUUGGUGAACUGUUUGGAAGCCUCAAUUCACUUUCAGAACUGUAAGGUCUACUAAGCCAUUGAAAUUAUUAGUCAUGGACACCCUAUUUCAGUUAUUCAGUGUUGGAUGUCCUGUUCAUUAUCAAAUAGGUAUAGAUUUUAGCGCAAAUACAAUAUUCAAAUAUAGUUUUACCCACUGAUUAAAAUUGUAACAUAUUUGCAGAAUCAAAUAAAUACUGAUAUCAUUUUAAUAUGGCCAAUCUGACAAUCAUAGAGGCAUUCUUGGUCAAAUUUAAAGUAGUUUUAAUGCAUCGAUUCUGUAGGGUGACACUUUCGAGGGUUCUAGCAAUUGAUAUCCUUUCGCAAAUAAUUGAAAUGCAAUUUCGUAUUUUGACUGGAGUGAGUGAGGAGUAUCUACAAUAUACAGAGCUUUAAGAUAAUAUCUGACUCUUUAGCUUUUUAAGAAAUGCAUUCAGAAUCAUUUAAAUUGUCCAAAUGUGGAUGAUGAGCAUUUUGUUACUGUUAAUAUGCUCUUUCCCACAGUUUCAUGAAUUUAUCUUAUGAUAUUUAAUAUCCUUUCAGAGACAUAUCUUUCAACAACCUGACGGGGAGUCUUCCAAUUUCAAUGGGCUCUCUGUCAAAAGUUUCUAGCCUGUAAGUAUUCAGAUCUUCCAUCAUUUGUAUUUCAGUUUCAUGGUUCUGAACUUCUGAUAGUUAUGUUCUAACCUGCUAUGUAGUUACAUGCAAAAUAAUCAACUAUCAGGCACAGUUGAUGUCCUCAGCAACCUAAGCCUUGCGACACUGUAAGUGACUUCCCACAUAUCAAUAUGACUGCUAAUUUUCCCUUCACAGUAUUUUCUCUGAUAAAUUAUAAUGUAUUGUGAUAUACCUUCAAACAGAAAUAUUGCAAACAACAAUUUCAGCGGCACGAUACCACAAGAAUUGAGCUCGAUUCCAAAUUUGAUGUAUGCACCAAUAUGCUUUACUUCCCUUUCUUUAUGGAAAUCAUUUGUAAAUUGCAUGCUGAUGUUUAGUGCAACUGUACCAUAGAGUUGGAGGAAACUCAUUUGCCAAUAUGCCUGCCUCCCCACCGCCAACUCUCACGCCACCUCCAAAGAAUACACGUGAUCAGCCAAACCAUCCUCAAGGACCUAUAAGUGCUCCAAUUGUCCCUGAGACUCCUAUUGAUCAGGACGACAAGAAGCUGCAAACAGGUCCUCUUGUAGGGAUAGCUGUUGGCUCAAUAGCUGUUGGCUCAUGCGUACUUUUCGCGUUGGUAUUCUGCCUUCACAAGACCCGGAAAAGAAAUGAUGAUGCGAGCAGUGAACCAAAAGAUAUUUUAGGUUCCCUUGCAGUAAACAUAGAGAGAGGUAUGCUCCUAUUUCUUUGUGCAUUGUAGCGUUCUGUUAUCAUAUUAGCAUUCUUGUCAUUUAGUUGUUCAUAAUUCAUCGAUAAAAAUCAUGAGAUUGCUCUCUUAUUGCUGGUUAAUGAAUAGGAAAUGAUAAAAAAUCUACUUCUAGAAAAUGUGAAUCUGGCUGUCAUCAGGAUUUUUACUAAAACGUAAAAAUGUCCAGAUGAGGAAGGCCCGACUUAAAUUACUAAAUUAUCGCUACUCUGUAAUUCAUAUCUUCACACUCCUUAGUGUUUCUCUGUUGCAGCAUCUAAUAGGGAAACCCCGAUCCCGAAUAACAUCCAUGAAAAUGCUGUUGUAGCAACUUCAGAUCUCCAACCUAGUGGAAAAAUGACUCCAGAGAGAGUUUAUGGUACAAAUGGUUCUACUGCAAAGAAUGCAAAGGUCCCUGUGACGGCAACUUCAUAUACAGUUGCUGCUCUCCAAGUUGCUACGAACAGCUUUUGUCAAGACUCUCUCCUAGGCGAGGGUUCGCUUGGUCGUGUUUACAAGGCUGAUUUUCCCAAUGGGAAGGUAAUAGCAUAUUCGAAUAUUUGACUUAACUGAAAAUUGUAAGCUGUCAUUUGUUUUUUGGCAUCAUUGGUUACAUAUGGCCCAAUACAAAUCUGUUCACAGAGCAUUGCUGACAUAGCCAUGCAAUCCCCCUUUUUUAUGCUAUUUUUUUUAUUUCUUUUGUUUCAUCGUUACCCUGAAACUGAAUUGUGUUUUGUGAUAACAGGUACUUGCUGUCAAGAAGAUAGACAGCGCCUCACUGUCUCUGUACGAAGAAGAAAAUUUCCUUGAGGUUAUCUCGAACAUUUCCCGGCUGAGACAUCCAAACAUUGUGCCUCUUACAGGCUACUGUACUGAACAUGGGCAAAGGCUUCUCGUGUACGAGUACAUUGGAAACGGAACGCUGCACGAUAUACUGCACUUCUCUGAUGGAAUGAGCAAGAAACUCACAUGGAACACCCGUGUGAGGAUAGCACUGGGCACCGCCCGCGCUCUAGAGUAUGUUUGUUCUUAGCAAUCUAACAUUUUCAUUCCAUGAGAACCCCAUGUUGUUCUGGUAAUCUGUUACAUAUCAUACCACCAUGUACUGACAUCAAAUUCUCUAGGUACCUGCAUGAGGUGUGCAUGCCCCCUGUCGUCCAUAGGAGCUUCAAGUCGUCCAACAUCCUGCUUGAUGAGGAGUACAGUCCACAUCUCUCUGACUGUGGCCUUGCUGCUCUGUCACCAAAUCCUGAGAGAGAGGUAACAAGCGACGUAGCGGCAAAGUCCGUCAACGCUAAUUACUUCCUAAACGUGAUCUUUAACUUUUACUAGCUGCUAGUAUACUUGGUCUAAAGAAAGCUCUGCAAUGCUAAACACGCCAGGUUUCAGCUGAGGUGGUUGGGUCUUUCGGAUACAGCGCCCCCGAGUUCGCCAUGUCAGGAACAUACACCACCAAGAGCGACGUGUACAGUUUCGGAGUGGUGAUGUUGGAGCUGCUGACAGGCCGUAAGCCUCUGGAUAGGUAAUGUGCUCGCCAUUUCUGACCUGGUAAAUUUGAAAUCAAGAUGACAAUUCAACUUGUUCUUGUUUUGAUUUGGGGUAACUGUGUUUUGCAGCUCCAGGGAGAGGUCAGAGCAGUCCCUAGUGAGAUGGGCGACCCCGCAGCUCCACGACAUCGACCUGCUUGCCAAGAUGGUGGAUCCUGCCAUGGACGGGCUGUACCCUGCAAAAUCCCUCUCCCGCUUCGCCGACAUCAUCGCGAUCUGCGUCCAGGUACAUUCUUUACUUGUUUUUCUCUGCAUAUCUCGCCGUUAUCUGCAUUGGUUAGGUAUGAACAAGAACAACCAAAGUUAGCAUUUAGCAACCACCCCGUCCAGUCAUCCAGCAAGUCAGUCAUAAAAUAGGCUAAAACGCCUGCCAAUACGAGCCAAAUCACUCCCUUUGGAGGUAGACUAAGAUCACCAAUGCCAUGUCUGCAGUCGGAGCCGGAGUUCCGGCCGCCGAUGUCCGAGGUGGUGCAGCAGCUGGUGCGGCUGAUGCAGAGGGCUAGCAUCAUCCGGCGGCAGUCCGAUGAUCUGGGGUACUCGUACAGGGUGCCCGAAGGCGGCACGGGCGACGCCAUCUGAGGGACAGAGAUCAAAAGCUCUUUUUUCAGAUGGUGUACCGUGCUCGGAAGAAAGAAAGGCAAAUUGUUGCCGAGGCAGAGCCCCAUCCAUCAGCAUUCAGCAAGAAGCCAAGAACAGGGUCGAUCUGGCCACGUUUGGCCUUUGGGUGCUGGAUUAUUCAUCAAAUUUUUAUUUUUCUCGUGUCCUCUACAGACUACAGUUGUGCUGUGUUAUUGAGAUGUACAGUACAGGAAGAGUCUGUCUGUCUAUUGGGAGUGGGACAUGUAUCUAUAGUGUGCGUUCGGGCAAUUGGUAGAUAAGAUAUACUAGUGUGUGUAGAAAGGAAAAGAAGUGGAAUUUGCUGUGGUAGACGACUGUUGGUGCUUGGACCUCUUUAACUGGCUGAUGCUGUCACCUCUCCGGUGCAGACGGCGACCUGAGACGCGCUGCGUGGUUGCAUUGCUUGCCGGCGAGGCAAGCUUCUCUCAUUCGCGGCGGUGCGGCGAUUCCGGCUGCGCUGUUGCCUGGAGCACUUGGGUCCAGUGGACGACGCCGACUCGAUGUCAAACGCGAGAUAAGAUAGGAUCCGCUCGAUGCCGAUGGUAUUGGGAUAUUGGUUGGGGUCGUUGUCAUCAUCACCUCAUCAUCUUCAUCAUCAUUCAUUUAUUCGUCUCCGCUGCCCACAUAAGUACGGCAGAGAGGAGAAAGAUACGAGUACCUUUACUGACAACUAUAUGGACCACCCUCGUAAUGUUGAGCCAGGCCGUAUAGGUUCAUGAAGACCACUUUUUCUCUCUAUCGUGGCUUACCCGAGAGAUGGACACGAAGAGGUGGAGGGGCAUUUUCCGUUUAUUGUUGGAAUAAUGGAACGUGAUGGGUUGGUAGGGGAGGAUUGGAGUGGCGCGUAACGACGGAUCAAAAGUCAGAUGGUCACGUCCGGACCGGACAGGCGAGAGUGAGAGGUUCGACGUCCCGUCAGCCAAGCUUGCACACACACGAAAAAGCCUACUAUGCUCGGAAGAGCGUAGGGUAGCCAUUCCUUUUUCCUUUCCCACCGCUGGGUACACCUACACGCGUAGGGUGGCGCCGCCGCCGCGGCGUGCGGACGGGCGAAUGAACGGCGGCCACGCAAGCGAAGCACGGCCACCGAGCCGCCGUCGCUUUCCCGUCCCACCCGGUCCCGGCCAGCAGCGUCGCCGGCGCGGCGCCACCCGCCCACCCCCGACUCACCGCCGCACCUGCCCAAACCGUUCCCACGCAGGCAGCCGCGCCGCGCCCCACGCGCCUGGCUCUCGGACGCUCCACCCGGGCCACACAGACACGAGUGACCACGCCGGGCCGUACACCAGCAGGCGUCGACUGGCUGGCUCGUAGCAAACCAACCAGCCAACCCAGCCGGCAGCCGCGCAAGUUGACGAGCCCCCACCCCCACUCUCCUCCUGGCCUCCACCGCGCCGCGCCACUGUGCCCGCGGCCGGCAGGGCGGCAGGUAUCUUCCCUUCCCUCCCUCGGGGUCGGGGCAGCUGCUGCCACCUGCUCCACGCCACCACCUCCUCGCGCAGGAUAAAGCGGGCCGGGGAUGCGCUGAGCCGGAUGGCCGCCCACUCGCUCUCGCUCUCGCUCUCCCUCCCCAUCACGCGCUCGCGUGCGCCCCUCGCGCUCCGCCGCCUCCUCCUCCUCCUCCUCAACCCGUGCCGCCUCGCCGCCGCCCCGCCACAGACCAACCGAGGCCUCUCCUCCGCCGCCGCCUCAUCCCGGGCGCGGGCCCUCGGCCUCGCCGGCUGCCCGCCUCGCCCCCGCGCCGCGCUCCUUGGCACCGGAGGUGCGUUCCUUUCCUUCUCGACCCGUCCACCCUGGCACGGCACCCACCUACCCAGCACCGCCGCGGCCCAUGCGGCCAUGCCCCGGCCGCCUGGUUGCCGUGGUGUUCAGUACCCGUACUCCGUAGGGAACGAAGGGGAGCCUGAUAGCCUCGGCGCUGGAUCGGUCAGCGUUUUCGACGCUUCGAAUCCGAACGAUCGCUUCGACGCAUGUUAGUUUUGACUUUUGGAUCAUCGACGCAUGUUAGUUUUGGUGCCUUAGUUUCUUCUUGUUUACCUGAUGUGAUUUGAUACCACGACGCGAAAUUUCCUCAGCUCGCACGGAGAUUGACAAAAUGGGAUGGGUGUACGGUACGGGUCCGUAGGCGUGGACCGCGCCACUCCCAUAUUCUGGGGUACGGGAAUUUUUACAUUUCUAGGAGAAGGGAACGAGAACGGGUGGAUGGGUGAGAAAAGGUGACCAUGAUGGACAGUGAAAGAGAGGGCAUGAUGACAAUUUAGUCGCCUUCGCCUUUCAUUUCAUCUUGUCAAUUCGCUUGGGCAUGGUACGGGGCGGGCUAAGGAGCCAAAAUCACCAAGACUGUUCACACCGUCCAUCUCGCCCAUCUGUGCUUGUGCUAAAAUCGCCCAGCUUUGUUUGUCAAUGCUAAAAUGCUGCAGUUCAUGAUUUUAUUUCAUCAACCUUUCGCAGGUGCAGGGAGAAGACGGAGAGGUGAGCUAGUCCGCAGAGCUAUGUCAGGUUCGACGAACUCAACUGUAGCGGCGGAGUUGACGGUGCCUGUCGAGCAGCUGCCUUUUGUGAAUGACAAGCAUGGGGGUGUUAUUAUUGAGAUGGUGGUGCCAAUGGAUCCUGGAGUGUUUUCAGCUUCACUGAAAGCAGCAUUGGCGAAAUGGAGGGAGCAGGUGACCCCCUCAACCUCUGUGUUCACCAUGUGUUCUUUCAUGCUGUGAUGGCUUGUUAAAAAUCCAUCAGCCUCCAUGUUGACAACGUAUGUGUCAAAUAAAUAUCGUAACAUUUAAAAUUUUGAACUGUUGAUGCUCUAUUGCAAAGAUCCAUGGUGGCAACUGUGUAUAGUAGGAUCAGGAAGUUAAAAAAAAUUUUGGUGCCGUGCAUAACGAUUAUGCUAAAGGUUAAGUACAGUGUAUAUUUUCUAUGAGGCUGAGGAGCCACAAACCAUAUCUAAGGCAUCUGACAUAGACAUGCUGACAUUACUGGACUUGCAGAUUAUCAACACCAGCCAAUUUUUUUUUAAAAAAAAUAGUUUUAGUUAUUCAUGGGUACCUUAAGGGGGAGAGAUGCAGCUACAAUGCAUAUCCUGCACUUGCUUGUCAUUGAAAUAGAAUUUCUUGUAAGGGCUUUACAUUUAUUAUCCCCAUGGUUGUAAUUUAUUUUGUACUUCUUUUAUUAUAGGGAAUAAGAGGUGUAUGGAUCAAACUGCCCAUCACCCUUUCCAACCUUAUUACACCAGCUGUGGAGGUAAUUAAACUCACAUUUUCAAUAUUUAUAGUUGUAUCACUUGAUGUAACUUGUACAUUCAAAAGUGAAGUAUUUUAAUACAAUAUUUGAGUCACCUUAAUUCAAUUGUUUUUUAUAGUAGCUGGUAACCGUCACAGUUUGAUAACUCUUUUUUCCCAUGACCUUUUAUCUUUUGAAGAGAAAUAGUUUGAGGGGAUCAUACUGUGUACUAUACUGAAACAGUAUGGAAGGAUUCAUUUUGAUUUUAUCUCUGAAAUGCUUUUACUUCAUUGUGUAUGUAGGAAGGUUUCUGGUACCAUCAUGCAGAGGAAACAUACUUGAUGCUUGCAUACUGGCUUCCUAAUACAACACAUACGCUACCAGUAAAUGCAACCCACCGUGUGGGUGUUGGAGCCUUUAUAAUGAAUGACAAAAGAGAGGUACAAAAUGAAUGUGAUAACUUUAAGGAUUUAGCUUCUUGUUGUUCUGUUACCUCCUUUACGGAUCCUAAAAAACAUUGUUAAUCAAUUACCUAUCAGUUACGACAACAGGAUAUUCUAUUAAGCAUCAUCCUUAGACAGUUUUCUAUCUUCCUUAUCCCUGAAAUUCUUACUUUUGCAGGUCUUGGUUGUACAAGAAAAGAGCGGUGUACUUCGAGGCCUUGGUGUAUGGAAAUUUCCAACUGGCGUAGUUGAACCGGUAAAAAUUCUGAUCUGAACAUGCAGAGAUAUUAUUCAUAGUACAUUCAUUACCAAGUUGUCCUAUUAUAAUUCACAAGAUAUUGGUAUAUACAGGGGGAAGAUAUAAAUGUCGGUGCUGUAAGAGAAGUAAAAGAAGAGACAGGGGUAUGUAUUAGUGUAAACUAAAGUUCAAGUUGUUUUUAGUAGACUUUGUCUUGUAAAAUGCUGCCAUGGUUGCUCAUACUCAUUUAUUUUUCCUCUCUGGAUCACAUCUCAGAUUGAUGCAGAAUUUGUUGAAGUGCUAGCUUUCAGGUAACGACUGUACUCCUGAUCCCAGUUCUUUCCUAUAUUUAUCUAGUACAGACUUACCAGGUAUCUUGUCACACUUAGCUUUAUUGUCCCAUACUCCCAUUUAUCCAAUAUAUAUACCAACACGAAGAAAGAGAAGUAUUGUUCAACAUACUUAUGUGCAGAUAUUUUUAGUUCCUAGCUGCUGCUGCUGCUGUGAUCCUAGAGAACCAAAAAAGAAAAAAUAGCUUGCAUUUCCAUUUGAUAUGAAAUUUACCUGAGUCUAUUUUCCUUUCUUUUCAUUCUGUUGAUGCAAUCUGGCGCGAUGGCUAAGUGUUUAGUUGAAAUAAAGCAUCUCUCUAUCAUUUGCAGGCAGAGCCACAAAUCCUUUUUUGAAAAAUCGGACCUAUUUUUUGUAUGCCUGCUACGACCACUUUCAUAUGACAUUACUAAGCAAGACUCGGAAAUAGAGGCAUGCCAGGUACUUGGAACCAAAAUUCCAACAUUGAAUUGUUAAUGGUUAUCUCAACAAAAAACAAAACCCCCACCUCUUAAAGGGUUUAUUUCAGUUCUUCUAGCAGCAUUUGACCAAAUGCUUUGUCCACACUCUACUUCUCAAUUGCAGUGGAUGCCAGUGGAGGAAUUUGCAGCACAACCAUUCGUCCAGAAACACGAACUCGUGAAGUACAUCCUCGAAGUCAGUUUGGCUAAAGUUGACAAGGAAUAUGCAGGGUUUUCGCCAAUCUCCAUAAAAUCAGCAUUCACAGACAAACUGUCCUUGUUUUACUUGAACCGGAGGGACCUUGACAGGGCCUCAGGAUCAAGCAAACAGUAAUGCACACUUUGGUCUGUGAAAAAAGGGUCUGAAUCAUUCAUACAGUACCUGAUUGUUUUGUUCACCAAUUGGUAGCUUGGGGCCUUGGGCAUUUGAUUUUGACCGAACGUUGUCUGCCGGACGUGUCUAUGAUUCAAAGGAGGUAUAGCAACGCAAACGUAUAGCUGAAACUGUUGCACUUAUGAAUUUGUAUUUGUAGGUUUACAGACAAUAAAAUGUUGGUUGGGCUUGACAGGAGACUUUUGUUGAAAUUAGAAAAUUUUAUACAGAAUUACUAACGUGUCACUUUUCUUGACUCCUGAUUCAUACAUAUGGUAUAUGUGUCAGUGUCAUGACUCAUGAAUCGAUCCACAGAUGAUUGAUGUGUCACAGGUUUAGAAAAGGAAAGGAGAAAAAACAGAAUGAGUGAAGAGAUUGAUUAUUGGACCGUUGUUUCCUGGCCUACUAGCCCACCUCCAAAAAUGACUCCACCAGCAGCCAUCAGGGCCCUCGGCUGCAGGCGCGCCGACCACCUCGCGCACACGGCCCCAUGUGCCGCCGGCCCCCGCGCUAGCCCCACUGCCGCCUCCUCGCUGGCUCGCUGGCCAGGCUGCUGCCACCGCGCGCGCCCCAUGCGCCGCCGCCGAAGAAGGGAAAAAAACAAUUAGAAAUGUUGAUUAUUGUCUGAGAAAAUGUGUAACCUAUUUUGUCAAGAUGUUGAACUGGACAAUAGAAAUGUUGAAUGCAAUAUUUUCUUGCAAAAUGUUGAUCUAUUUUUAGAAAAUAUUGAAUUUGGUAUUUUUGAUGUUGAUCUAGUUUCUAAAUAAUGUUGAACCUACUUUGUCGAAAUGUUGAGUUCAUCUUCUAAAUAUGUGUAAUGGGCUUUAAAAUUAUGUUGUUUAACUAGUCCAUAAGUUGUGUAGGAGCUCACCCCCAGCCUGGAAGCUAUUCAUCUUCUCCGCGAGAUUGCAACGAGUCAUCGCUGAGCACCGAUGCUGUAGUGAGCUGAGCCGGAGGCUGGAGCUAGGAGGGAGGGGGCUCCUCUACCCCGGUUGGUGGGGGUAGUGCCCCACCCUGCCAUAUGUGGAUCUUUCGUCUAUGUAAAUAUUGCGGUAUUAUACGAGAUUAAUAACUGUCGUUUGAGAGCUAUCCACAUAGACUUAAAAGCCGAGUAACAUAUUGCUAGAGGCAGAUUCUAAAAUAAUCAGACUUUUGGACUUGCGAGUGCUACCGAGGGUCACUCAAAUUAUGUACUCGAAAAUACAUGUACUUGUCGAGUGUUACCGAGUGUUAUAUGGCAAGUGUCUACAAAUUGCACCUUUAUGUACUCAAGUUAAUUCGAGAGAUAGAGCAUCAAUGUCCAAUGUGAUAAUUUGGCUCCAAGAAACAUCUGCAGCUACGAUGCCAGCUCCUUCGGAACCAAGGACAGAGGCAACCAAAGGCCAGCAGGAACCAGUGAGACAACCCGGGCCUACCGGGGGCUAUAACACCCCCCCCCCAAACAAAAAAAUUUUUCAAGGUUUACCAAUAUUGAUAUGAUACCUCAUUAGUAGUUCGUACUUAACUGCUAAGAGGUAUGAGUGGUGUUACUAAAUUUCAGAUUUUAUUUCCAAGUAGAAAACCGUAUUGAGGGACAAGGGUACCCACGGGUCCCCACCGACUAGGAUACUGGUCGGUUCUGACAGGUGGGCCCGUCCAACCAUGCCGUAAGGUCAAGGCAUGAAGAUACGUAGAGCAUAAGUUCGGAAGCCGGGCAAACAAAUUCUACUCGGAUAUCACGUGAUACUUGUUGUAAACCGAUUCAGAUUGCUUUCCAUGUAACAACCAACUAGGAUUAGAUCUUAUCCGAUUAUAACCCUAGGUCGUCAGCCUAUAUAAGGCGGCUAGGGACUCCCCCUGAGGGUACCGCAUGUUAACUCUUCGCACCUGUAAUCAGCAAUACAAUCCACAAGAAUACAGGACGUAGGUUAUUACUCUCCGGAGGUCCGAACUUCUAAACCUUAUGUCCUGUGUUACCAUUCGAGUUCUUGAUCUUACGAUCUCCCCUGGCUACAAAUCUACCACUUGGGUAACCCCUGGUGGAUUGUCAGUCACUAAAUCCGGCACGUAUGCUGUGUGUCUUCUAAAUUUUUGUUUGCUAAGUAUGCUAGUAUUCCAUCUUUACAUGACUAUGUGAUUUCAAUCUUAAAGAGGUGUUGGGUGGAACUAAAAUGAACAUCAAGCAUUUUAUUUUGUACUAGCAAUGCCCGUGCGUUGCUACGGUGAAAUCUACUAUAUUUUAAAAGCUUAUAAAGUUUUCAAUUUUUAUUAUACUCUAGAAAAUCAGUAGAAUUUUAACUUAACAUAUUUCCUUCUGCUCAAAUACUCAUUACAUUUCUACCUUUUUAUUUAAGAAAGAGACUUGCUAGUGACAAAAAUAGUUAUAAUCAUAUUAUACCAUAUAACACGACCACAUCUCUAAUUGUACCAUCUGGUUGGAAUGGGCGAGGACUAUGUUCACACAUGGUACAGUUUAUAAACAAGCACCGCUACUGCCUUAACAUGGUGGGUGCACAUAGUAGGCGUGGAUCCGUUUAUUCGUACAAGUAGCAAGUAGCGCACGACCAGUCUAGUGAAGUCUGCUGAGACAAGCCUGAUUUUGAGCCGUCUAACUCCUUCGACCCAUAACAGUGCACAACUUUUAGCCAUUGGAUGGAAUUAACGGCUGAGAUGAUCCGCUCAUCAAAUAAAUAUCCCGUCCGAUCGAAACCCUACACCCGCCGUCUCCUUCCAUCCGUCCGCCGCGCCCUGCACCUCCUCCUGCGCGCCGCAGCACCCUCUCCCGUACCUCAUCUCCCUCUCAGGAUGUUUGGAUACCUCAGACUAAACUUUAGUCCCUGUCAUAUCAGAUGUUUGCACACUAAUUAGAAGUAUUAAAUAUAGUAUGAUGAUAAAACUAACUGCAUAAAUGAUGGCUAAUUCACGAGACGAAUCUAUUAAGCCUAAUUAGUCCAUAAUUAGCUCAUGUGAUGCUACAGUAAACAUGUGCUAAUUAUAAAUUAAUUAGGCUUAAUAGAUUCGUCUCGCGAAUUAGCCCUCGUUCAUGCAAUUAGUUUUAUAAUUAGUUCACGUUUAGUCCUUCCAAUUAGUAUCAAACAUCCGAUGUGACCCGAACUAAAAAUUAGCCCCUCACUCUCCUGCUCCCGCUCCACACCCUCCUCCCCGCCCACCUCCGCUCCGAGAUCCACAUCCUCACGGCCGUGCAUCUCCACUCCUCGGCCUCCAUCCUCUACGCCCGCUCCCCGCCUCGUCCCCUUCCGUAUCCCUCCCUCCCUCCCUCGGCUCCUCCUCCCUCUCCCCCAGCCGAGGCAAGCGGCGGGCGCAGGCCGGGCGGCACGGCCGAGGCAGCUCGGGCGUGGCCCAGGCCGAGGCCGAGCGACGCGGCCGUGGCGGGUGGCGUAGGCGGCCGGGGCCGAGGCAGCGCGGCCGGGGCUUGUUCGGGGCGGCAUGGAAGCCCUGUGACAAGUGGCUUGUCGGGACGGACGAAAUUAUUUUAGCAAAAGCGUUAAUCCCUUUAAUAUUAGGUAAAUAUUAAUAUUAGGUAAAUAUCAGGUAAAGAUAAAGAUUUAUUACUUUUUUAAUUGUACUUUAUGCCUCAGUGAACGAUCUUACUUGGAAACGACAAGUUAUUCUAUGGCUAUAUAUGAUUAAUUUACUAUGCGAUUGAACUACUGAUUUGAACCGGGCCGUAUCCUCCCUCUCUCUCUCCUCUCUUCCGCACCAGGGCCCACCAGUUUAUAAAGGGCGAAAGGCCGCGACCAGGCCCGCGCGGAGCUGCCUACAAUUCAUUCUGCUGCCGAGGCAUACAACGCUUCAUCUCCGCAGCGCACAUCAGCCGUUCGACGGAAUGCCCCACUAGACCAGGACGCCCGACGCCAUGUCCUUCCUGGCGUUCGGUCGCGGCCGCCUCCUCCGUGAGCUCUCCAAUCGGCGCCCGCCGCCGCCUCAACGGCGAGGUGCUCCUCACUUCUCCCUCACCCGAACCGCCCAACGCCAACCCCGGCGACCGAGCCGAAACGGCUGCCGACUGCUAAUGUCUUUGUCGUUUUGUUUGCUGGAACCAGGAGUUCACGCCGCGUUCGUCCGGCGGUUCAGCGCGCAUCACUUCCCGCUCGAUGGAGUUGAGGACGCCGCGGAGCAAGCCGUCCAACCGCCACUGCCGUCGUCGCCGCCGGUUUCUCUGGCGAAGAGUCUGGCCUCUCUCGCCGAGGAGUCGGCCGAGGCCGUCCAGAGACAGAGGAAACCCCUCAUGCGGAUGGAGCGGAGGCGGCUGGCGGAGCUCCGCAUCAAGAAGAGGGUCAAGGCGCAGUACCUGAACGGCAGGUUCUACGACCUCAUGCGUAAGGUCGUGGCGACCGUCGAGACGCUGGAGGACGCGUACGACAUUAUCCGUCUCAAUUCGAACGUUGAUCUAGCGUCUGCGAAGGAUGAUGCCUGCUUCGUUACGCUGGCAGAGCAGCUGAGGAGUGGGGAGUUUGAUGUCAGAGCAAAUGCUUUCUCAGUGGUGGCGAAGAGACGGGGAGAAGGGUGCCUUGUUCUUCCUAGGCUGAACUUGAAAGUUGUUCAGGAAGCGAUAAGGGUGGUGUUGGAGGUUGUAUACAGGCCUCAAUUCUCAAAGAUAUCACAUGGUUGCCGCAGUGGGCGAGGGUAUCACUCAGCCCUCAGGUUCAUAUCAGAUGAAAUUGGGAUUCCAGAUUGGUGCUUUACUGUCCCAUUGCACAAAGAGGUUGAUAGCAAUGUAAACUCUAAGCUUAUUUCUCUGAUACAGGAGAAGAUUGAGGACACCCAGUUAAUUGCAUUCAUGCAAAAUAUGUUUGAUGCCAAGGUGAUCAAUUUGGUAUUUGGUGGGUACCCAAAGGGCCAUGGGCUGCCCCAAGAAGGCGUACUUGCACCAAUCCUGAUGAACAUAUAUCUUGACAGUUUUGACCAUGAGGUGUUCAGGAUUUGCUUGAAACAUGAAGGCCUUGGUUCAGAGGCAACAAACGUUUCAGAAGACCAUGGGUCAAAUUUGCGUCGCUGGUUUCGGAGCCAACUGAAGGGGAGAGAUGAAAAUAGUGAAGAACAAACAGAUUGUCAGACAAAGAUAAAGCUAUAUGCUUGUAGAUAUAUGGAUGAGAUUUUUGUUGCAGUUUCUGGAUCCAGAGAUGUUGCAGAAGAUUUGAAAUCUGAAAUUGUUGCUUACUUAAGCAAAUCACUUUACUUGGAAGUUGAUAAUAGGUUGCGUCUGAUGCCAGUCAAAAGGAAUUUGCGGGGAUUACAGUUUUGCGGUGUUGUGGUCAGAGCCGAAACAAAGGAAAACGCCAAACUGAAAGCUGUGCAUAAACUGAAGGAGAAGAUUGGUUUGUUUGCUUCUCAGAAGCAAGAGAUUUGGGACGCUAUGAAUCUUAGAGUAGGAAAGAAGUGGUUGGCAUAUGGUUUGAGAAGAAUAAAAGAGAGUGAGAUCAAGCCACUUGGCCUUAGCACCCCAUUACUCGAUCACAUUGCACAAUAUAGGAAAGACGGCAUGAAGACAGAUCACUGGUUCAAAACUUUAUUAAAGGUAUGGAUGCAGGAUGUCAAUGCCAAGAAAGAGCUAAAUGAGGAUGUUCUCCUAUCUAAAUACAUUGCUGAACCAGCACUUGCACAAGACCUUAGGUAUGCAUUCUACAACUUUCAGAAGCAAGCUAAAGAUUACAUCUCAUCAGAAACUGCUGCUACUGAGGCAUUGUUGUCCAGUUUAAAGAGCGAGGAAUCAAUUAGUACCUGCACUGAUGGUGGUAUCAUUAAAAUUCAUGCUCCUCUUAGCUAUAUUCAGAAGUGCCUUCAUCGCUAUGGUCUAAUUAAUCUCAAAGGUUUCCCUAGGCAUGUUUCAGCCCUUGUCUUGCAAGAUGAUGAGUUAAUAGUAAGUUGGUUUGCAGGAAUAAUUCAUCGUUGGAUAAGAUGGUUUUCUGAGGUUGACAAUUAUAAAGAACUUCAGCUUAUGUUUGUUGAAUGUGUCAGAAAAUCCUGCAUCAGGACAUUAUCUGCAAAGUAUCGGAUGUAUGAAAAAUUGACCGAAAAGCGGUUUGAACUUGAUGAUCAUGGCAUUCCAAGGGUUGAGGAUUUUGAGGCAAUAAUUAAACCUUUAGAAUCUAGUUAUUCUUUGGCUUCCACUGAUGAAGCUUUGAUGUAUGGCAUUUCUAGUAGUGGUUUAUUUGUGCUAACACUGUCAAGGGUUAGAGUCCCUACUCGACAAUUCAACUGCUUUGUCAUGGGCUGCCAAUCUGCAUCACCAAGUAUGUAUGUGCUUCAUGUGAAGGAGAAACAACAUUUUCCUGGAUGGAGGACAGGUUUCUCGUCAUCAAUUCAUGGGAGUUUGGAUGGUAAACGAAUUGGAUUGUGCACCCAGCAUGUUAAAGAUCUAUAUCUGGGACACAUCUCCCUUCAAUCAGUUGAUUUUGGUUCCCUGCUCAGAUGACUUGAAGAUGAUACCUGUGGUUUUCUAAUAGUCAGGGGCUUUCUACUGACUCACAGAGCAGUAGGUUCAGUGCUUGUAAACCAAUACAUGGUUGUUGCUAAUCGUAGUAUCAUUUGGUGAGAGAUAACUUACCUGGUAUGCUUGUGGACUACUUCAAAUUGAAAAUGAGCCUACAAUUUGAAGCGGCUCCUUUUCGGUGAGUGGUUCAGACUUACAGAAUUCAGUUUUAGUUGGUAAUUCUUCAACUUUAUAAAAUGCGCGUAGCACUAGGCGAACCGUGGGGUGGCGCCUAAGCACUGCAUAGCUAGGCUAGAUGGUGAUUAGGUGGUAGGCAUUGCUAGAUAAGCUAGAUGGCUGCUAAACUUUACUCUAAUCAUAGCAUUUCUAAAAUUUGUGCAAAUUUGUUGCACUUAUUUUAGACAAAAUAAUUUGUUAGUUUUAAAUCUCUUUUCUCUCAAAGAAAAUAGAAACGGCUCUAGUGCAUUCAUGUGUGGCGGAACGUAAAAUUGCUUUGAGCGCUUCUGGUGCUUUCUGGUUGUUGUGAUGGGCACUUUGUAUGUCAAACUUUUACCAUCUCUUAUCAUACCACCAGGAAACCAAUCAAUUUAUGGACAAUUACUUUUGAGAAAGUUCUGCUGCUCUCCGGUAUAUACAUAUGUGACUGCUAAAACUCAAGUUUGUUUGACAGACUUGCAUUGGAUUCCCUGCUGGAUUGGCUCACUGAUUGUAACUUGUAUUCAGAGUUGUUUUGCGAUAAGCUCCUAACUGAAUCAGGCAGCAAACUGUGUAAUGAUGGACAAUAGAACUGAUGUAAAACGUGGAUUGGUUUGAUCUGAUCCAAUGAGAACCUGAUUUGGAGAAGUGCACAAUGCACUCAGGUUCACAAGAUGCGGUUGCAAACACAUGUUGCAUACUUGCAUUUCCGGUCGGCAAUAUACUUGGCAAAGGUAGCUUUCUUCUGAAUCAUUGUUUUCUUCAUGCAUGCUUCUUUAUUUAGCCUGUCCUCUAAAUCAUGAGUUAGUUACUUCUUAUACUAUAUAUGUCACGUGUGAUCUCUUCAUAAGAUGGUUACUUCGUGGGCGUGACUAUGCCAUUUUAUCUCUGAAUGUUGUCUUUCAAGAGGGCACACUGGAUUUUUUAUAUAAAAAAGUGAAAAGACACACCGUGGAUUAGCAUGAAUGGGGGCAUAUUAUUCCUUACAACACAAUAGAAAGGGAAACAGCAGUAGACCAUACUGGAUCACCACCAGAGCAUUAAUAACUUAGGUUAAAAGACUAGGAUUUGGCAUAAGUGCCUUGCCCUUUCUUAAUUAUAAACAGGUCUCCUCUUAUGGGGAGAGGCAUGGUAAUCCUUGUUAAGAAAUUUCAGAACUUCAUCACUGGCCUCUAGCAUUUUCUCUUUUGAAUCCUCAUUAAUUCUAUAUAAUGUGCUGCGAACGAUGGAAUCCUUCAGCUCUUGUUUGGACCCUGCCUUUGAGUUCCUGGAAGAAUGCUUGGAAUGCAAUGUUCUGAUAUGUUGAGUAUUUGGAAUGUUGAGUGCUAUCACUGAUGUGCUUCCUUCUAGUUUUACUCUUUUCGUGGAUGAUCCUGCCUGAAUCCUGGAGCUACUACUAUCCUGAGAUAUUUUACUAGGAAAUUAGUAUCGGACCAUAAUCCACUAAUCAAGGAAAAACAGGGAAAAUAAAAUCUGGAUGGAUUGUCAUUGCCAUGAUGGCUCUCUGGGACAGAUUGUCUAUAUUUGGACAGUGGUUCCUAGAAAAUAUCUUUCUGCUAUAAAGCUGUAUUCAUGAAUUUCAAAGUUGAGAUUAUGAUGUAAUACCUCAAAAUUACUUUGGUAUUUUACUAUCUGACAAUAUUGUGUAGAGUUUUGUUCUAUCUGACAUGUUCAUGCUCAUGUCCAUAUAUUGCUGGAAAGAAUACUCCGAUACCAGCAAAUGUGGAAGUAUGAAAUUGCAUUUUUGUUUAAAUUUCAUGUAACUACUAUAAAAUAUAAAUUUAUGCUAGCUUUUGACCAAGAAAACAUGUAUAUAUAGGAUGUUGGGAAGGAGGAAGAAAUCACCUUAAGGUUUGAAGGCGCACUUGAAUUAGUUGAGUAAUUCUUAAUUUCUCCUGCAUUAAGAAUGUAACAAUAUUCAAACUGAACAGAAAAUGUUGAUGUAGGAUUUCCUUGUUUUAUUUGUUUAUUUGGUAUAGAAAUAUUAUUUCUUUGCAAAGCUUGUAACAGCUAGAAAAUUGAAAAUUACUAGUAUAUCUUGAAUAAAAUGGUGCAUAAAUGCUGACCUUUUCCCAAAAGGAGCAUAAACUUCAUUAUCAUGACAUAAGGAAAAAGACAACAAAUUAUUGUUUUAUCAUAACUAAACACGUGUAUCUAACAAGGAAAGCCAUAUUUGACAUAUAUGAUGGCAAACCAGAAGAGAAAUGAAAAAAAAGCUAGUUAUAGUUACUUGGCUGUACCCUAUCUACUUCUAGUUGUUCUUGGGAGGGUGUUUCCGGGGUGAACGGUAAUCAGCAGUGAAGGGAAUGUGUCCAUCAAAGUAAACCUUUGGUGGAGGUUUUCUACUUGUAAAAUAACAGUUCACACUCAAAUCCUUCCCUCCUCCGUGCCCGCAUUUUCCAACAGAAUGUUUUGCACCUGAGCUUGUUUUGCUUCCAGAAUUCUGUGCAUCCUUCUGCUUCAGGCUGUGUCUCCAAAAGCCAGCUUUCGUCCUGUCAAUACAUUGCUUCUAACUUCCUCGUGUGUGCUGGUUUUGUCGACACUAAGUUCCUGGAUUUGACACAUCAUUAGUUACUGUAUUCAGGGAUGAGUCCUGGCUAGAGGCUACAAGAUUCUAUAACUUCACAGUGCUUACGAUUCUUACCAGCUUGAUUUCUGCUCCGCUCUUGCUGCCAGUUACCAUCAGCAAUUCUGAGAACAGGCAGUAGGUGUGUCAGUUUGUCAAACAUCUGUACUUACACCGAGAAUGGAAUGAGCUGGGAGGAAAAAACUUGGCUCGAGUAAGCAAACACAAAAAGGAGAAGUGUUGAUAUCUACCUCUAUGUGCAAUGGUGACGAAGGGGCCGAGGGUGGCCGAGAGGAUGGCCAGCCCGAGCAAGAAGCUUAUACAGUUUAACGGCUGCAUAACUAACUGUCUAGCCCUGCUUUUAGGUAUGUCUGUCUUGUAACUAAGAGAAAGGGAAGGAGAAAAGGAAGGUUAGAUUUAUAGGGUUGCAGAGACAUGAGCCCUCCAUUGGUCAAAGUAGAGUUGCAAUAUCUCCUGUCCAUAGAAUGCUGCACCUGUACUUUUCAUCCAUACAAUAAUCUGUGGCCUCAGCAUUUUCUUAUUGGCUUGAGUAUAUUCAUGAGCUUGGAACUACUCAAAGUUUGUCCAUUGCCAUUUGCCAAGCAGCAGUUUCCAAGGAUCUAAUGCAUUGUAAAAGUGCUCCAAGGAUCGGCAAAUUGCUUGGGAUAGAAGAUUUGGAGUGCCUUGGGCCCUCUGCCCGCAGUGCUGCUGCCAAUGCAUGCAGUGAGGAAGAAGAGGCAAAAAUUAGUGGCCAACUAGAAAGUUUUCCGGUGACCAAGGCCGGAACCUAGAGUUUCACCUCCCUUUGAUCUUAAGUAAUGCUCUUGGUGCCCCCAUAUGUACCUUAAACCGUAUUGAUUCAUCAGACUCCUAGGUGGUAGCCUAAAAUUUAACUGGUGGUAAAUUGGUGGGCGUGAACCAGACGCCCUCGGCAUGCAAGGGCACGCCUUGUGUUCGACAAUGACCGCCACUGUCAGUAGGAUUGAAUUAGGGGGACUUUUUUGAAAAAUGAAUUAGGGGGACUUGGGAGAGUGAACGCAUGGAGAAUCAUCUUCAUUUUCAGCUGGUUGAAUUUGCUCCGCUUCUUAGAAGUUAGCACAUGACUUGAGCGUAAACUAACAAGACGGUUUUUCCUCUUUUCAGGUGUUGGCCAUGACAAGUGGCCGCGAAAAGCAUGAGCAGGAUGCCAGCUCGAGCUUCGGUUCCGCUGCUUGGCAGCUUGGGCGCAUGAGCUGGGGAACACAGGUCCUAGGCCUCUCUGCGCCUGGUGUGAAGAUUCAUACAAAUGGUACUGUACCUGAAAUGGUACUCUCUCAGACAGUCAACACGGUCUUCCGAGACUCAAGUCGUACCAGCUGCGUGGCCCAUGCCUCGGCUUUGCGGUUCGCCUGUUUCGCGCAUCUGAAGUGAAAUGAUUCAGAGCUGGCCAGGCCGAGGCCAUCCGAACUCGGAUGUUGGGCGAUUUGCUUGUCAUGCUGUGUUUGUGAUAGAAUCAUUGAACUGAAGAAAUCUCUGUUUUCCUUCUAGGCACUGUGAUGUGAAGAGCUCUAAGUUUGGGCCCUUCACGGAGAUACAUAAACUGUUGUAGAUUUGAAGUUUCCAGUAAUAGAAGUUUCUGAAUCAUUAGUAAGAAGGAUGGACGCAGAUUUGCUCUGCAGUCUGUUUGGAUCCGUGUGCCGGAGGUGAUGCUUGCGUACAAGAGCGACCCGGCAACUGCAUGAUGUAGCCAGAAAGCAGAACUCUUGCAAUACAAUACAAUGGAGACCAUCAUAUUUUCAUAUGCAAGGGCUGUACUCAGUAACUGUCUAACUGAACAUACACUGGUUGUUACUGAAUGCAUCAAACGAAGGCAUGGCAGUCUGACACACCCCGACGAAACUGUGAGAAAAAAAAAAUCGACAGAGUGAGAGAGCAACCGUCGCCAUCUCGCAGAGCGUCAACGGAGCAACGUGCCAUAGCGCCGCCAGCGUGAACAGCGUUUGGACGCGCCGGUGGUCGGCUACGGGGUCCGAUCCGGCUGGGCCCCAGCCGGAGUCCGGGCAGCUGUGAGGGAACCGAUGAAGAAGCAUCGGGUGGCGCAGCGGGCGAACGUGCGCCGGGGACCUCGGGCUCCGGCGGGCGCAUCAUCAUUUGCAUUCAUUUGCUUACUGGGGUGUGGGGAGGAGCACGAGGGCGUGCGAGGUCCGAUUCCCGUCUCCCCGCGCUCCGAUCGUGGCUCCAGCAGCCGGCGACACAUUUUCCUCCUCGCGGCAGCCGGCGGCUCGGAUCGAGGGUUGUACGAGUGACUUUCAAGUUUUUGUUGGGCACAGAUCCUAUUCCUAGUACAGCUUCCUACUAUCCAUCCCUACGUGUCCGUAUCACACUCACAAACAGAUUUUUUUUCUUCUUCCCCGAGCGAAAAACUGCAGCAGGUCAGGCGCUGUUCAGCCCAGUUGCAUUCGGCCUAUAAAGCUCGACCAUGACCAGCCCAAAUUAAGAGGCUGGGUAAGCUAGUUGGGCCGAAUGGAUGAGCAAACUGGCUAGGCGGGCAGGCAGGCAGCCCGUUGUUGGCCAUGGCGGCAGGCAGGCUGCCACCCCACGUGGGUCGCGGCCGUCCCAGGCUCCCAGUCCCACCGACACUAAUAUGGUUGAUAAACUUGCUAGAAACACAGCGGAUCCCUCGGAUCAGAUAAAAAACAGUGAUGAGAGUAAAGGUGGAAGGUAAUCUUUCAUUCAUGGUCAGUUUUCCAAGUCUUCACUACAUCAUACAUGUCAGCGUGAUCCCUGCGCAGCUUGCUUACCAUGGUACGGUAGUACAUGAUGCAAAGCAGUAACAGAAAACCACGCUCUUUCAGGUCAGGAUAGUGUAAUUGACCACGCAGGGAAAACAAAACUCCCAAUUGAAGUUCGAUAAAGUUCUAUGAACGCCGUUUCUGUUUAACAGAAAUAAAAAGUGCAAUAGUACAAAAUAUUUACAGUUACGCAAAAGGAGUGCCCCCCAUGGCCUUGGGCUUUUCUUCGAACUUUUUCACCAUCAGUUAGGAAGUGAAUGGCUUCCAAAAACCUUUCAAGAAACAAUUCAGGGAAAACAAAAAAAGAAUACAAACCCUCAUUCAAACCAAUAUGCCUUUUCCAGUCACGCUAAAGACACCAAGUGAAUAAAAGUAUACAAAAUGUAAUACAUACAGAUGACUACCAGGUACUAACCUUCCCUUACUUUCAGCUCCCAGAAGCUGCAGUGAAACAGUCAAUAUUGCACAAUUUGACUGAUCUCAUCAUCCCUCCAAAUCUGCCACAUCAAGGCGUUGCAAGAGUCAAGAGGGCAUAAAACAGAACAGCUCUUGGGACAGAAAUCCACAAUAAAACAUAAAACAGAAUGCAUAGAAGCGUAUGGACAAACCGGUCAAUGCUUUUCCGUGGCCUGUCAGGUUGAUCCAUGCUAGCCCGUGGUUUGUCAAGUUGAUCCACGCUUUUUCUGCUUUUAUCUCUCCGGUCUAUGCUGCCCCUAGGUUUCUCCCGUCGAUCCGUGCUUGGUCUAUGGUCAAUGCUUGACCUCGGUUUGUCCCUAAUAUCUGUGCUUCUCCUUGAGCUCUCCGUGCCUUCGGAUCCUGUUUCACUAGGAUCUGAGGGACCUGAACUCUCCAGAGAUUCAUCUUUCACUGGUGGUGAUUUCUCUAUCGCUGUGACAAACUUUUUCAGGUGUUUAAUGUAUUCUGGAUAUAGCUCCAAAUUACAAUGGUUUCCCCCUUUGACCCACAGAGGCUCAUACUUCACUUUAGAUAGCUCCCACAGUGUCCUCCCAUGAGAACAGUCAACAACCUCAUCAGCUGUACCCUGCACAUGAGAUACGUUUAGUGCCUUUAAGUGGUAAAAAGAAAAAAUUUAUGUAGCCAAUCGGCAGAACAUCUUGUAACACAGUAAUUGGACCAACUAUUCUUCCUAAAAUGAAAAAGAAAAAUUGCCUUCUAAAUGGCAUUAACAAUCACAUAAGCACAAGGACAUUCUAACAGUGAUGAAAUAUUAUGAAAUACUUAUGUCCUUCGUGUAUGACACCAAUAUCCAGCAUUUUAUAUGCAGGAACUUGUGACAUCUCAGUCAAGACUCCAGGCAAAAGGACCUUAUGGCCUGAACUCUGGAAACUAAAAACAGUAUUCAAGUACAGUGCUAGAAUAAUGUAUUCCUUAAGUCAACAGUGGGAGAAGGUACGGUGGUACAGAGAGAUUGUGUAAUAUGUAAACCAAUUAAUUGAUCCCAAAAAAGUAUAUCAUUGCCCUGUGUAGUAACUUUGCGUAUGCACAAAAUUGCAUUAGUUCUCUCCACUGAGAUGCACAAAAUGUGCAGAGUUUAAUAAAAAUGUCAGGACAUCAGUGGUAACAACUUGGAACUUGGAACAUGUUUUGAAAAUAACACAGUACGAAAAUGAUAAAUAAUCAUCAAAUGUAAAGCCUUGAACCCAAGUUCCCUAUCUGCAAGACAGAAUUUAAUGACAACAGAAACACACAUGCAUGUGCGCACAUGGAGUUGAACAUUAUUUUAAAAUAUGCUGUCAGACGGAUACUCACAUGGAUUACUAAGACGGGACAUUUGACCAGAGGAAUUUUGUCAAUGUUCUGUAAAUAAAUUAGUAGUGAUUAGAUCAGGUAUAUAAUCAAAUUAGAAGGACUAAAGUAAAGUAAUGACCUUAUAUAUGUCAAACCAGUAUGUAUGUUUCACAGGAUACAUCACUCUUAAACCAGAUGAUAUUGGGCUAUGUAGUACAACUGCUCGCAAAUGAGAUAAACGGGAUGCUAAAUCCAAAGUAGGGCCACUUCCAACUGAUUGGCCAUAUAAAAUGAUGUUUUCCUCAGAGGCUCCAUAAGUUUCUAUAAGACACCUAUAAACAGCUUCUAUAUCAGCAUAAGUAUUUUGCUCACUUGGCUGCAGAAUAAAAUGGAAUUAAACAGGUCAGACAUGCUAUAUUUGGGGAGCUGGAACUCAGACAACAGCAUGAAAGAAAAUGGGCAAAGGGAAAGUACUUUCCUAGAAAAAUGUGAAUUUAUACCUUCCCAGAUGACUGUCCGUACCCAGAAUAAUCGUAACUGCAGGAAAAUGUACAAUUCAGAAAUUACUAAUGUGGAGUGAAAUAGGCACACAAAGUUCAUGGCUGAUGAGGCAUCAAAAUGAGAAGCAAAUAUAUCAUGAGCACAAUAGGAAGUUCAAAACAAGCCAGAGAUAAUGCACAAUAAUAAAUUAUACUGAACUUUCAUUGUGUCAAGGCAACAGUCUGAUAGGUGGACAAGCUAAAAAGUCAAACUACAUAUCAAAUUGUAACCAGGUCUCUACCAUACUACUGCAGAAAAGGUAAACUAGGAUAAUAAAAGCACUAAUAUAGCAAAAAAAAGAUGUUGAUCCAGUAAGAAACCAAAUGAAAAAUAAGAAAACUUAAGUGGGAGGAGCUGACCAGAUACUUCAUACCACAAGAUUUCAAUCGGUUAGUUCGUUAAAAAAAAAGAUUUCAAAUUGGUUAUGAAGUGUUAGAUCAACUGUACAACUCAAUGGUUCCAGCCAACCAAAUCAACAGCUCAUCCCAACUCAUUAUUAAAUAUAGCCAGCAAACUAGAAAUCAUAAUCCCCUCAGCAAAACCUGAUAACUAAAAUGUCUCUAUAGAACAAAAGCUACAAUAAAGUUCCAUAAUUAAAUCCAAUAGCAAAACUUGGAUAUAGAGAAGCCAGUGGACAACUACUAUAGCCAAAGUGUAACCAAAUAGGAAGUACUACAAAGAUUUCAAACCUACAACUCGAACGUAUAAAACUUUUAAAUUGAGAAAAUGGACUUUAGCUGGGCAAUGUCGACAAAUUUCAACAGUGGCUAACUGCUGGAGUCAAGGGGAAAGAGGAGAGACACCGCUAACAAGAAAGCAUGCUCGUAGUACAUUUCAUUUGGACAAAGGAAUUUGUUACUAAGGGUUUUACCCAAUACGAUGGGUGACAGAGAAAGUUGAAGUUCAUGCUGUCAAUGACAGUGUGUCAGCAUGGGGACCAGCGAGGCAGAAUGCAGCUUAUGUUAGAUUAUUUUAGGCAAGCCAUGGGGAGGUAAUAGCUAGUAAAUUUUGUAGAGCGCGAACAAACAAGGAGUAAUAAGUAAGCAUUAAGCAUGAUUCUAUCCCUACAUAUGCAGCUUCCAGUAUCUCUGUUAAGUGAAUGGAUAGUCAAUCUCAAUCAGGCACAGCUAGAAUUCAUAUAUUAGUGAUGUUAUUCAAAUUCUAACCAAAGAUUACCUAGGCAACAUGGGUCCCACUACAACUACAACUAAUGUAGCAGUUCUGUAGUACCAACGGGAUUAUUUAACACUCAACAACAAGUCAAACAAGAUUCACAACCAAAAUCUCCAAUAUAGCCGGUCUUCCUUCCCAGGAUCCAAGAAGUUCCAAACAACUCUGGUACUGAUGACAAUGGAGCAGACGUGCCCCUCAAUCAAUAGUACAGCACAUCAACAUCCAAACUUUCCAGUCAGCUUAAGUAUGCACUAUCAAACAAUUACCAACUUCAAUGAAACCCACCCACUGUGCUCAGAACCGCUAACUUUCUGAACCACACAUACAGAUAAGCUGCACUAUUGCAGCCCAGGACAUUCCCACCAAUAUAACAAUUAAGACCACAUAAUGUCCCACCCUUUGCCCCAUGGCAUAACUUCCAAAACAAGUACAUAUACAGAAUCUAACAGUAACCUUCCACGGAUAUACAAUCCAACUGCGUGGGCGACCUUGAACACUUAUUCUCCCCAUCAAGUUAAAUUCAAUUCUAGAUUACAAUUUCUAUCAAAAUGACAUAACAGAUUUCUACUAGUGAAAAUAAGGCAUCUAAUUAAGUUACGAAGCAGCUACAGAGUCGAACAUUGCUCGAUCGAUUGCAAGAUCCCAAAUGUACCUGAAUAAUCAAAAGCAAGCAGGCAAGCUCUAAACUAGAACAUACAUGACUCCCAUUGCUGGCAGUAAUUACAGUCCUAACAAGAUGUAUUCCUUUUUUUUAUCAAAUCAAGAAGCCUGAUACUAACAUCAUAAUGAAAAUAAGCUGCUCACGCAACAGGCAGGAUCUCGUCGAAGAGUAUCCAGUCCUAUCAGCAAAGGCGCGGCGAGACAGAGCGGGCACGUACCCCAUGAGGUUGACGUUGAGGUGCGUGCUGAGCUCGAGGAAGAGCUCGUACAUCUGGCCCAGGUCGGCGGCGUUGCCGUGGGAGUAGAGCAGCGUGAGUCGCGCCCCGGGCUGGCGCACGUACAUGGCCACCACCUCCGUGCCGCGCUUGGUGGGCAGCUGGCGCGCCUCCACGCCGCGGCCCCGCGCCACGGGCACCCCACUGAGCUCCACCACCUCCGAGUCCGCCGCCGCGGCCGCCGGCGACGGCGGCGGCUCCACCCCGUACGACGGUGGGGCCGGCGGGAAGAACGCGAACCGCGCCGCCACCGUCGACGCCACCGCGCCCAUCGGGAGCGCUGGGAGGCUGGGAGCAAGUAGGGCUCCGGGUGGCGGGACUCGAGGUUGAGGAGGAGGAGAUGCGCGUGGCGUGGCGAGCUCGGUUUUUUAGUGGAGGCUUUCGCGGAAGCUGCCGCCGCGAUCGGAGGGGAAAGGGAGAAACGGAGCGGAGCAGCCGAGCAGCGGGCGGGGGGUGGUGGUUUGUUUGUUAAGACAAAACAACUGAGUUGGGACCCGUCGUCAAGAGGCUCCAUCCUACAUUGUGUGGUUGUGAUUGUUAAGUUGAUCCAACUCCUCUCGUGUUUGGUUAAAAAAUAUCGAAUUUACAGAAAUGUGGAUGUUAUUUUAACACCGUUAGCAUCAGUUUUUAAUGAAUCCCACCUAUCAUAUGUGAGGAAUAUAUGUUGUCCUCUAUUUUUUCACGAAUCUUAUCUUCUUCCUCUGUUCCCCAGGCUCCCUUCGCUAUGCCGCCGCUUGCUCUGCCAGAUGGCUCCUCCUCGUCGCGCCCUGCUCUGCUCUGCUAGCUCCUCCUCGCCUUGCCCUACUCUGCCCACCGGCUCCUCCCGCGCGCCGCCCUGCUCUACGCACCGGCUCCUCCCCGCACGCGCCGCCCGGCUCCUCCCCGUCGCGCCUGCCGGUGGACGAGCUCACUGGCCACCGCGCGCCCCUACCUUCCCCCCACACCUUGAGCCAUUGGCGGAGCUCUCCGGUGCCGGUCGCCGCGUGCCCCUCCCUCUCCCCAACCUCCGCCCCUCCCGCGCCCCUCCCUCUCCCCAGUGCCAGCCGCCACUCGUCCUGCCUCUCCCCUGCACUGGCCACCACGCCGGCGGCCGCGCGCCCUACCUCUCCCAUCGCGCCAGCGACCACGCGCCCCUACCUCUUCCCGCGCCAGCCGUGUGCGCAAUCCUGCUGCGGUAUUCAUGUGGAUUGGGAUGGUCCUACCCACGUAACUUUCCAUCCGAACAUGGGUCCAUCUGCCUGGCUGGAUUCGAAUUUCCAAACUGAAAGCCGCGCUAAAUUCGGGGCAAAUUUGGAUUCAUCCUCACGGAAACGGGGGAGAAAAGUUUUUGGCGCCACCUCAUUAAAGGACACGGAAAGCUAACAUGUGAAGCGGCUCGCCGCUCGCUUUAGCGCUGCCGGCGGCGGCAGGGACGCCGUUGCUUUCGGGAAAAGCGCGUCCUCCGCUUUUGCUGAUGGCUCGAGGUGACGGGCGGCGCCUGCCACUGGCAAGCGGGGCCAGGGUGCGCUGGGCCCCACCUGGAAGUUGAUUUUGGCAGACAGGUUAACUAACUUUGUACCCUUUCUUGACGCCUUUUUUUGUUUUCAGAGAGACGCCUGGUUAGCUUACGUUAAGCCACUUCUUUUCUUCCCUCACCUUUUUUUUUAUCGUCUCAUGUGAACUCCGAAACAGGAACAGCUUGUGUCUUUUGGAAAGAAUGUCAGGCUGGCAACGAGGUUUCGCUUGCUGCGCAUUUCGUUCAGAAAAGGAGUUUGAUUCGGAAGCUAGAUUUCAAUUCAUAUAUAAAUACGCAAUGUGAAGCAUAAGGCACGGGGUUGCAUAUUAAUACUACAUCUCAUCGGAAAUGCAAGAACUUGUCAACGGCAUAAGACGACGCUUCACAUGCUUUUGACGCAAAGGUAGGGCCAACACAUGAAAUUACUAAAGCAUGCGGGUCGCGAACAGACUGAAUAGCAAAGAUAUUGCACAGGCUGGUUAGACUGGUCUAGCAACCCGAUCAGACCGGUUUCCUAGAGUUUAGCCUAAAUUGAUCGUUCGAGAGGAUAACUACCACGCUUACGUGAUGGAAGACGGCUAGGUUUACGAGCAAACCAGCAAAGGGAUAACCAACACACUUCCGUUAUGAAGAACGACAAGUUUACGAGCAAGGUCGUCAAUGCUCUCGCCUGGGAGGGACCCCAUCAAGGCGUGGACGUCGCCGGCGUGCCCUAGGUCGACCAUCAAGCCUAGGACGCCAUCUCUGGUCGUGGAGAUCAGUAGAUGAACAGCAUGGAGAUUGGAAAAGGAGUUUAGGAGAUAAAAAGUAAAUGCACAGUAGAUUGAUUCGAUUGGGAUAUCCUCACUCGGUCGUGGCCCUUUAUAUUUAUAGGGUGGGGAGGUCUUGCCCCAGUAAGAGUCGAAGGUUAUACAAAUCCCGUGUCAAAAUACAACUCCUAACUCGGAUUAGGCUGGUCAAACCGGUCAGACCGCCCAUCCAAACCGGUCUAAUCGGUUAGCACAGGGCUGAAUCUUACCAGAGCCAUAACUCUCUCAUCCGGACUCCAAACUGGACGUUCUACAUGAUCGACUCGACAAGAUCUACACAAUGGUCAAGUCUAAUUAGAGAUUUGACAAUGUUAGUAGAACUAGUCUGAGCGGUUUGUAGAUCGGCUUGCCCAGAUUCAGACAACAAACUCCUAUGAUGCAAAUUUUGAUCUCGAACACAUGCCCCCUAUUUGUUGGUAAAGCUUGUGUACCACAAACAUUUAUUAGAACCAAAACUCCAUAGGAAUAAUGUAGAGCACAAGUGCAUCAACCAUGUUCCACUUUUAAGGAUAAUAGUGUCUAUCGUCCAUAUUACUUGAUCCUGCCCAAUAUAAAGAAUUCAGCUUAUUGCUGCUGUUUAUACAUCUUGUAUGAGUAAGUAAGACAAGCCUAAGUACAUACUGCCUCGACUGUAGAUUCUUGAUACUAAUUCAAAGUCAUUCUCACACUUGUAAUCUAUUGUGGAUAUAUAAAGCGACCAAAUUGCUAUGAUGUCAAUUGGUCAUUGCAAUACUUCUCAAAUGAGAAUGAAGAAAUAUAGAACAAUUCAAAAUUGCAUCCAUAGAUUAUUUGACCAUGAAUAAAGUAGGUGAGUAAUCAGCCCAAAAGGUGAAUAUGACACAAUUACCUUGGAAUUGAUGAUGGCCAGAUUACUCUUGAACCCCUCUUGUUUGUUUUCCCCUUCUCUUUUGAUACAUCUUGGAUUAUGCAAAUAUCCAACAACAAACUUUUUCUAACUACUAACCUCGGCUUCACCAGGUUCUAAAAUUUCAAUAGCCAAAGUAGUAGCCAUACCAGUCAAACCGGUCUCAAUGACAGUCAGACCGAUUUGUCCAGGAUGUGCCCUCCGAUAUUUGCUAAGCACCAACCUCUCUCAUGUAAAUGUCUUUUUGGACAUUGCAGCCUGAUACUCCUCACUCCAGAACGCUGAUCCUGAAUUUCGAUGCUUUGCUACAUCUUGCCCCCUGAGCAUUGAAACAACCAAUAAGGUCAUAAGUGAUCUCUGAUCGGGAAGUUAUCGCUUUAGGACAAUGAUCAAAGAGAUUCAUCAACCAUAUAUGUUGCCAAGGACAAUAAAAAAGCAGCAUCCAUAAUGAAUCCAUCCAUAAAAAUAUGUAUAGCUGAAGUAAAUUUUAGAGAAUGAUACAUAUGAAAGAACAAAAAAUCAUCUCUAUGAUCUACAUAUUUCGGCUUUUAAAAACUAACAGCAACAUCUAUUGCAAUUAAUCAAUAUGCAUAAUAAUUUGGUGAUAAAUCUCCAUGAUAUAAAGACCCAUGUGGCAUCCAAGGAUCAAAAUAAGAAUAUGAAGGAUAACCAAACAUAUCUAAGAAUGAAUUCAAAGACAUAGGCACAUAUGACAUUUGUAAAGCAAAUGGAUGAUGUAAUGACCAAUAAUUCUGAUGAUUUGGUACAAACCUCAUAUUUGAAGAUUGUCUCUCAGACUUUUUCUUCCCCUUCAACUGUGCUGCACCAUUUGCUUGGACAUCAUUCUUGUUUUGAAUUUGAAUACUUCCUUUAGGAACCCAUGCCAUGCCCUUCUUUCUCAGCUCUUGAGCACCAAACUUUUGUAGCUUCUUCUUCUACCAAUUUGAUAAACCAAGUGGAUGGCUUGGCUUUGCUUCAGUUUUGGACAGCAGCACUCUUUUUUUUUUGUUUUUUGGUGCUUUCAACUUAUUUUGUUCAGAUUUAGCACUUGGAGGAUCAAUGGCUGAUUUUUCCUUUCCUUUGCCAUUGGUAGCCAAAGUGCUUAACACAUUAAUUGGCUUUUUACUGACUGAAUUCAGAUCUAAACUCUUAUCUUUGCAACCAUCUUUUUUCAUUUGAUAAACUUGCUUGACAACCCUUUUCUUCUUUUGAACACUAGACCGAUCCUUUUGCUCAAAACGGUCAUUUUCAACAUAUGGCUGCGUGGCACAUGAUGGUUCUCUUGGUGCUGCAUACUCUACAUGAUAUGGUCUAAAAUAUGAAGGAGUAUGUGCCCAUGGAUCAUUUCCAUCCCAUGAUGAGUAAGAAUGAAAACUAGUGGGAUGUGGAGCAUAUGGAACUGGCAUUGGUGGCCCAAUAGGUGGAUAUGAUGCUGCUGAAUGAAACCUUUCUCCUUGCCAAUUCCAAUCCCUAGAAUUAUGUUUACGAGGUAAACUUGAUGGCUUAAUAUUAUUUGACCGAUUAGCACGCUUUGCCUCAUUAUCUUUUUGAUAUUUAGCCAGAAAUUCAUCGAAGUGAGCUUCAGCUUUUUACCAUUGUACUUAACAUGAUCUUUACCUCCAUUCACUACAGGACGCUUAGGUCUCAACAUUUCUGAACUUUUCAGACUUGAACUGGUCUGACCGGUUUGGGAGACCGGUGUGAUCUGUUGGUCCAAACUGGUCAGACCUGUUUGCCCAACCGGUCUGACCUGUUCACCCAACACAGCAGGAGUAACAGGUUCUUGAUUCGAUGGAGAAAAAUCCAUUUGCCCACAAGUAACUUCUAGAAUUUUGAUAAGCUCAUCAUCCUCGAUAAUUUCUUGAACUUGCAAGUCAUGGACGAUGUCCUUCUCAUCACCUGGGAGCUUCAAAUCUUCCUCUUUGGCAAUUAAGUUUGGAUCUUUAAAUGAACCGGCUGACUUUAACUGAUUUAAUGAUCCUUUGUCUUCAAGACCAAUUGUAGUCAACUAGUCAUCCUCUUGUAUUUGAGAAAAUCUAAAUCAUCCGGUAUUAAUGGCUGAUUGUAUGAAUUGGCGAAACAUAUUCCAAUUGCUAGUAUUAUGAUCAAAUGAAUUAUGCCACUUGUAGUACUUUUGAUCCUCUAAUUCAAGAGGUGAUGGAAUAACUUUGUGAUCAAAUAGCUUAAUAAAAUUAUUCUCUAGCAAGAUAUCAAAUAAAUCAUCACAAGAAGUCAAAUCAAAAAUAUAUUUUAUUUUUCUAACGCUGCUUUUGUGGAGAAGGCUUUAAGGUCAAGCAAGCAAAUGGUUCAGAUUUCUCACUGAUCCAUUCAUGUAUACCUUUCCUUGUGCUUCUCAUACCCCAUGCUUUAGAGCUUAUCACCAUAUUAGCAUCGGAUUUCAUAAUGACUUUCGAUUUUGAUCUUUUACUUUUAAAUCCAGAAUGACCGUAAGCAAACCAUGUAGAGAAAACUUUGGCAAUGAACAUGGAGAAAAUUUAAAUGCCAAAGUAUUACUAUUACCUGCCUUUCUAAUUUUCACAAUGCAUUGGUUGAGACAAUCUGAAGGCAUACUACGAUUAGCAAGUAAAUUACCAUCCUCAAUUGAUCGUUUGGAAUCAUUCACAAAAUUUUCACUAAUAGAUGAAUUAACUGAAGAUAUAUGAUCUGAUUGUGAAUUACUUGCAAAGCAUACCUUGUCAAAUAUAUUGGAGAGGCGAGAAACCUUGAUGUGGAUGAUAUCAUACUUCUCCUCUUGAUGGUAGCCCACAUUCAUAUUCUGAAGGGACCGAUCAGACCGGUUUAUAGGGCCGGUCAGACUGGUGCUUCCAGAGUUGCUAGAAAUCACCUUGUGUUGACAUGCCAAUGUUUCCUUCUUGCCUCCACUGUGAUGUUCUUAAAUAGUUCGAUGUUCUAAACUUUCAGCCAGAACUUAUCAUUUAAUGGUGCGAUAAUCACUAGAAAAACGCAUGACACCUUCGGCUUCAGGAAAAAUAAAUAGAGUUGUCUUCUUAUGUUUAACAUGUUCUUUUACAACUAAGCUUGACUCUUUUGGUGUAACAAACUCAGAAUAUACAUUAUUUGGUUCAGUUGUUGUAAUAACCGAACUAUUGCUCAAAUCUGAAUUAUUUUUACUUCCAUUACCACUCCCAAUGAUUGGUGGUGUAUCUUGCUUUCCCUUAGUGAUCGCCCUUUGAGAAAGAAAAAUUUGUCAGAAUUGUGCAAGAAUCAUCUCCAAUUCUUGGUGCAUCUCAUCUAGAAAAUUGGAUUCUUUGGUUUCAAAAACAGAACAUCCCGAUCCGACAAUUGUUGCAUGAUUUUAUACACGUGGAGAUAAAUACACGCUUACUAAAUUUUCAUUAAUUCGGCUGAAUUUUCAUUAAUUCGGCUAUAGUUAUGAAUAACACUUGGAGCCAAAUUAUGAUUAUUAGCAUUUGUAUAUGGUGCUAAAAUUGUAGGUUUAACCUCCACCCUAGUAGCAUGUUGUGCAGCAUACGAUGGUUGAGAAUAACAGGCCGAAUAGCUAGAAUUAGCAUGGCCAAUUUUCUCAUUUACCACCAUGUUUGCUGAAGUCUCACUAAUUUGGCUAUAACUAUUGCUAGAGUAAGGAGCCAAAUUGCGAGCAUUGACAUUAUAAUCCAUGGUAUUGUACACAAAACUUAUGUCACAAUCUUUCUCAUUAGCCUUUCUAAACCAGUGGUGGAAAAUCUGCUCUAACUGAGACCAUGUGCGACUAAAAUUUGGUGACAUAGUAGCACAAACAUAAGCACCACCAGACAAUGAUAAAGGAAAUAAUCUUAAUCUCAAGAUCUCAUUAGAGCUAGAUUCUCCACAUUGUAUGACAAAUUAUUUUAUAUGUUGUACAAAUUUUCCAUCCUUUCUACAGAAUUUAACAAAAUUAGGUAUUCUAAAACCAGGGCCACAAAACUGAAUUAUGCUCAAGGUAUGGAUUUUGAUAUUUUAUGCCCCUUAGUUCUACUUCAAACCGGUCCUAGCCAAUUGAUCAUGGGUUUGAGGCUGCAUACAAGGCUCAAAAUAAUUGGUCAAACUCACCAUAUUAGUUUGGCCUUGAUAAUUGCCCACCGGCUCUUGAACUUGUUAUACAGCCGAUGUGUGAGAGUAAUGAUGUAUGUUGCUAGUGGCAUUAAAAUUUAAAGCAUGCAUAUUAUUUGACAAUGGCUUUUGUGUAUAACAUUCAGAAUUAUAAUUUGCAUAAGUAACUCCAUCUGAACAAUUACUAGCCGAUGCAAUAUGCCUACUAGUAUCAUAUCUAGCAACAUCAACAUGAGGAUUCAUGGUACUUGCAAAAUAAUAAUGUAUUUGCAACUUGUACCUUGGGCUCGCUGUAGUGAUAUUGUUGUGGAACAUAAGAAUAGCCCACCAUGAUAGGUCUUGAUGCUUCUGAUCUUCUGGAACAAAUCCAGAUAUCCUUGAUAAUCCAAGCAAUCAAUAACCAACACUUUGCUUCUCUUUUAAUUUUUAAUAUGCAGGAGCAAGCAAAACACAAUGCAAUCAUCUUGAGUAGCAUGAUGCAAUAUCACAAUUAUAGAUGCAAUCGAUCCAAAAAGACCAGAUGCAACAAUAGUGGCGAAUUAAAAUAGUAAAUCAAUUAAGUAAAUAGCUAGGGUUUGAUAGAACGGUUUUUAGGAACCAGAUCUUCUUCCCUAGCGGAGUCGCCAAAAUGUGUUGGUGCAAAUUUAGUGCCAACACAAAAAAGCACUAAAGCGUGCGGGUCACGAAUAGACCGAAUAGCAAAGAUGCUGCAUAGGCCGGUCAGACCGGUCCAGCAACCUGGUCAGAUCGAUUUCCUAGGGUUUAGCCUAAAUUGAUCGUUCGGGAGGAUAACUACCACGCUUAUGUGAUGGAGGACGGCUAGAUUUACGAGCAAACUAGCAAAAAGAUAACCAACACACUUACAUGAUGAAGAAUGACUAGUUUACGAGCAAACUAGCAAAGGCCGUCGAUGCUCUCGCCCGGGAGGGACCCCGUCACGGCUUGGACAUCACCGGCGUGCCCUAGGUUGAAUAGCAAGCCUAGGACACCAUCUCUGGUCGUGGAGAUCAGUAGACAAACAGAAUGGAGGUUGGAAAAUGAGUUUAGAAGAUAAAAAGUAAAUGCAUAGUAAAUCGAUUCGAUUGGGAUAUCCUCAAUCGGCCGUGGCCCUUUAUAUUUAUAGGGUGAUGAGGUCUUGCCCCAGUAGGAGUCAAAGGUUAUACAAAUUCCAUGCCAAAAUACAACUCCUAACUUAGAUUAGGAUGGUCAAACCGGUCAGACUGCGCAUCCAAACCGAUCUAAAUGAUCAGCACAGGGCUGAAUCUUGCCAGAGCCAUUACUCUCUCAUCCGGACUCCAAAAUGGACAUUCUACAUAUGCAGUUUAAUCGUCUCAACGAGAUAUACGCAAUGGUGAAGUCCAAUCAGAGAUUUGAUAAUGUUAAUAGAACCGGUCUGACCGGUUUAUAGACCGGCUUGCCCAGAUUCAGAUAGCAAGUUCCUAUGAUGCUAAUUUUGGUCUCGAACACAUGCAAAACAACAGCUCAAGCUCAGCUAAGCAUCCUGUAGAUGUUGAUCUCAAAGAUAGUGCAAACGUGAAGCUUAAGCUGGAUGCCUGGAUGGUAAAUGAAAUUUGGUGUGCGAAAUGCGCGGUAAUACAUCUGAAUUCUGAAACACCCACCUGAAAAGUUCAAGUUCAACUGCAGCUGCUUCAACUGCCAAACGUUAGCAAGCAGUUUCAGACAGGAGACGAGCACCUGGGAAAUGGUUUCUUUCAAGCUUCGCAGAAAGUGCAUCGUCCAAUGCCGGUUGGAUCAAUCCUGCAGAGUGCAGAAACACAACGUAGAGGUAAAUUGUUGUUCAAGAAUAGGAUUAUUAGCAUUUGAUCAAUUCGUAGUGUCCCUAGGUGAAGAGCUUCUAAGCAAAUUCAUCAACUAGAUGAUUUAUGUAUGCAUGGUGCAUCAAUUUUUUUUGAACGAACGGCACAGAUUGUGCUAUUUCUAUUAAUAUAUAAGAGAUUUACAGGUUUAUUUAAAAAACAAGGGUAAAGGAAAACUCGGCGCCAGCAAAGCGCCCGCCUAUACUAUGUAUACCGUAUAAGGCUAUACCCCCACAAGUAAGUCUGCCAGGUGUUUCGCGCCGGCACUCUUCCAGGUACGAACUUCAUCCCUUAUCUGCGAUAGCAGAGCAUGGGCAGGACGCUCGGUUCUUUGGAACGUUCUAGCGUUUCUUUCGAGCCACAACAUGCCAUCGGACGAGCAGGAGGAGGGACCGCAGUCCUUUUCGGGGAACUCCCAGCAUGGCGCCCAUGUGUGUCCACCACUCGACAGUUGACGUGUGUGCCCACUGGUUUGGGUUGAUUUGAUUAUAGGAGAUCAAGGAGGCCACCAUGGACCAAAUCCGUCUAGAAUACCGACAGUCAACGAGGAUGUGGUGGGCUGUCUCAGGCCGACUCCUACAUAGAGGGCAGACUUGAUUUCUUGGCAAGUUUCGUGUAGCCAGUCGGUCUACCGUCCAUACUUUGUUGCGAAUUAUUAGCCAUGCAAACAAUUUACACUUGGGCAGCGCCCACGGUUUCCAGAUCAGUUGUCGGAGAUUGCAGGAUGUGGAUCCCAUAAAUUGAGCACGGUAAGCCGAUGCUGUUGAAUAAAGGCCCGAGGGUGACAGCUUCCAUGCUACCUGAUCAUAUGUGUCUUGUUGCAAAUGAACUUCUUGAGCAGGAGUCCAUAUCUCCAAAAAUUCCUGGAGGUGGCCCACCGUUAAGCACUCAAGCACAUUCAGGUCCUUCACCCAAUUGUGGUGUCGUAUGGCUUCUUUUAGCAUCCUAUUCUUUUUCCUGGAAGCAGCAAAAAUCUUAGGUGCAAUGUCCUUAGGGCGUCUUCCUUGUGCCCAAGCAGAGUGCUAGAAGGAUGUGCGGGCGCCGUCCCCCAGUUGAAUGGUCGUGCAAGCAACAAACAACAGCUUAUCCUUGUCUGAGCAUGUGAUGGGAAGCCCCACCCAAGCUUUGUUUGGGUCCGCUUUCUCCUGCCAUAGCCAACGCAGUCUAAGUGCUCUUGCGAAGAGGUGAAAAUCAAGAAUUCCUAAUCCGCCUAGUUCCAGUGGUUGGCCAACCGUUGGCCAAUUCACCUUACACUUUCCGCUAGUUAGAGCCUGAUCCCCAGCCUAGAAGAAGCGCUUACGGAUUUGGUCGAGCUCCUCAAUCACCUCUUUGGGAGCAUUGAGUACGGUGAGGAGGUAGAUCGGCUGCGAGCAUGGUGCAUCAAUUGGACAACAGGCGGUGCAUGUUCAUUUGAUACUUGAAGAAGGUAUUAUCAAGGAUCUCAAACCGAACCAUAGCAGAGCAAAAUUCAAGACGUGCUGAUAGUAAGCCAUAAACACGGAAGGAAGGCGUAUUUCUAGCGGAAAAUCAAAAUUCAGCUGUUAGCAAGAUCCCAUAGACCAGAUUCAUGCAAAACCGCUUGUUUGAUGUCAGCUUACACAUCAAUGCUUUAACCACCUUUAAACAAUACUUUAUUGAUGUCAGUUUUCACAAUCAACCUGUUUUAUUGCCACGGUGAUGGGAUGUGAAGUAUACCAUUUACACGUGAAACCUACGUUACUGAAUAAAACAUGCUGAUACGGGGGCACAAUCCCCCUUUGGGAACGAACACAAUAGACACAUACAUAUGAUUUAUUUGAGAUAGGUGAGGGUGGUUGAUGGUGCUAGGGUGGGGAUCCAAAAGGAGAUAUAUUAGUUCAAUAACGUCAUGGGUGAAGAUAUAUUACGUUAUGGCACUGGCACGGAAUGGCUGGCUAUGAGAGAAAUGGGGUCGAGAGGAAGAAAAAGCAUUCAUGUGUCAUAGCCAUGUUGCCCUCAUUCAAGAAUCAGAUUUCUUGUUGCACUAGCUCACGUACUUUUCUUUUCAAAAACACGGUAUAGAUAGAUGUUCAUAUACACAUACCCUACUCUUAUGACCGCAUACUAGACUAUUCAAUGCUAAAAAACACGGUAUAGAUAGAUGUUCAUAUACACAUACCCUACUCUUAUAACCGCAUACUAGACUAUUCAAUGCUAACAUUGGGUUUUCGUAGAUGUCUUGCCCACUGAAAGAAUAUAAUUAGCUGUAUACACUACGCCAGAAAUGAUUUGUACUAGCACCUUGAUUUUUGAGUGUUGGUGGGUAAAAUUACCACCCGCCAGCACAAAUGAUCAAGUGGCCAGCCCAUAACCCGUCAGUACAGAUGUAUUUGUGCUGACGGGUGACAUAACCACCCGCCAGCACAAAUAGCCUCAUUUGUGCUAACGGGUGGUUAUGUCACCCGUCAGCACAAAUGCAUUUUGCGCGUGGAGUUAGCUCCCUCGGUAUUUAUCUCUUCCUCCUCCUGUCUCUCUUCCGCAUCCUCACAUCUCUAUCUUAUCUCUUUCGUCUCUCACCUUAUCUCUUUCUCCUGUAGGGCAGCUGCACCUGGGGCUUGGGCGGGCGGCGCGGGAUGCCGGCACGGGCACCCGGCGGAGCAGCCUCAAGCGGCCAGCUCGGGUGGCCCGCGGGUGGCGCGGCAUGCCCCACGCACGCGUGGACCCAGCUCCCUUGGUAUUUAUCUCUUCCUCCUCCUGUCUCUCUUCUGCACCCUCACAUCUCUAUCUUAUCUCUUUCCUCUCUCACCUUAUCUCUUUCUCCUGCAGGGCAACUGCACCUGGGGCUUGGGCGGGCGGUGCGGGCGCCCGACGGAGUAGCCUCAGGCGG
rnacentral:lncRNA from 1 species